rnacentral:lncRNA from 1 species
UGGGCAUCAACAUAGUAAGUCACUUGACGAACAAACGGGUAAAGUUGGUCCAUCACUUCACUAACUGGGCUUCUACAUAGGCUUCAAGAUCUAUUUUAAAUCCUGGUUCAUUUUGGUUCUCUAUAUAUCUUUUUUAUUAAUCUAAAGUUUUUUUUUCUUUAACAAAGGGCUUUUUGGUUGUGAUCUAAAGUUGGUUCUUGUAAAACAAUGGUCACCACUCACCACUUUUUUUUUCCCCAUCUGUUAAUAUUCAUUCAAAGUUCAAAUACAUUAUUGAUCCUAAGCCGGCAGAUAACAUGAAAUCCCCAGAAUCAAGAGCCCAAGGAAAGGCAACUAGAACCCACACCAGGGUUACUUACAAACACAAUACUACCGAAAGCUCAAGGAAAAGCAACUAAAAUCCACAACGGGGUAACUUACGAACACAAAACUACGAAGACAUAGAAUCUACGAUAAACGCAUCAACCUUAAACCAUCUAAACAAAGGCAAAGUACAGUCCAAUGCAAUAACCUCCUAAAUAGCAGAGAGCAGUGAUCUGGAUAUAUCAACGCUGGUCCUCAACCAGCCAAAUGAUACAAUCCACUUGUAGAACAGAAGCCACUAUGCCUUCUCAACUCGGCCGCCUAAAGCCUGCCAAAACGAUACCAUCCCCACUAGUAACCAAGAACCAAGACUUCACAAUCACAAGAAGGAUCGCUUCACGAUACACACAACUUUCGGAUACGGCUUGAACACACUCUCUGACGUCCAAACCUCCACAUAAUCAAGUCUCAAAGGUCGACUCCCAUAAUAAAUACAAUCACUAAAACACCAAAUCGACGAGAAAUCACUACAACCACCUCAACAAAAAGAGAAUUCUGCAACUGGAAUGCCAAACACCAAAUAGCUAAACUGAGCCGCACUUAAAACUUGCCAUUAAAAUAUCGGGCUGAGGGAUUGGCUCCUCUCCUUGAACCUGCAGAAGUCCGUACACGAAUCGAACUUCGCGUCUACUGAGAAAUGAGAUGAACUGAAACCACGCGCCUAUUCCUCGGAGAUGGAUAACGACAGAUCUAAGGAAAACGAUUUUGACGCUUUACAUCACCAAACCCUAAAAUUCGACCCAUCUCAGAGAUCUCUUUAUACCUAGCUCGCCGCCUUUCCAGAAAUCCACGUUCUGCAACCUACGAACCUCCGCCACAAACAAGGAUGAAACAUGCUUCUUCGCCGGAUUCCAGAAGUUCGAGCAUAUCACCAGAGAUGGAGAGAAUCGCCAAGAGAGCAAAAGGAAACUGAGAUUAGAGAGGAAAGAAGGCCUCCGACUCCGGGAAUGGACACCGGCCGUUGGGGGUAGAGAUCCGCCGCACUAGGUUAGGUUUUGUUCUCAGAUCCGUCGGGGGUGGGGGAGGAGAGCGUUUUUUUUUUUUUUUUUUGUAACUGUUGGGUUUGGUCUUCAGUUCAUCUCAGGAGCAUCUCGUGCAGAGACAAGAGCUGGUCAAGCCUAUGUGCAUCAGAUACUCUAACUGGACAAGAGGGUUUCAAGUGGAAGAGAUAUUUGAAAGACGCUGGACGACUUAGAGUCUUUGGGCUUUGUUCUGGAGUCACGUGGGACAACACGUGAGAAGCCCCUUCUUCUGGAAUAAAACAGAGAUUGACGACGUCUUCAGAGUAACGAAUUAAGCUUCUUCAAGACUUCUUCAAUGGUGAUUCUUUGAAAAGUGAGAGAGAGAGAUCUAGAGAGAGUGAGGUUUGUUCAUUCUCGGGUUCUACGGUUCUUUCAUUUUUCCCUUCCUCUUGUAAGCAAACUGGAUUGUGGUUUUGCGGUGAGCGAUGGCUUUAUACACACCACCACCGGAGGUGGUUUCCGGUGAGAUAUAGUGGAGGCAGUUGGGGAGCAAGAGUUCUCCCCUCCGGAUUUAACCGUUUUUAACACGAUGAACCAGAUGAACAUAUCGGUGUGCACAAGUGUUUAUAGCUUUAGAAUCUGUGAAUCAUGAUUGGUGGAAUCUGGUUUGAUUCCUCAACAGUAACCUUGGAGUUUUAUUACAUUUGUUACAAGAAAACAAAAAUGGUGUGACAUUUACCAAAAUCUAGGAUUUUUAACUGUUUACACAUAAAUCAAAGAACCUCAUUCUGUUUAUAUUCCAUGAAGUUUGUAACGCUCAUAUAUAAUCUUCAUUAUUUGCUACAGACGCAUAUACAUAUAUAUAUAUAUAUAUAUAUUACCACUACGUUACAGUUUACUAUCACUUCCUUUGUUCUAUCAUUUAUCGGUUUUUAUUUUUACUUUCUUUUUUGUUGCGAGUAUGCCAACAUUUUUUUUUUGGACAACAUAAAUUUUUCAUUGAUGAUAAUUAGAGUUUAUGGGAAACAUGGGCUUGGGCCAGAAAGCAAGCGUGCCUUGGCAUAUGAGUCCGCAGGCCCAUUAAAAUCCCUACUGACGAAAGUGAAAAAACAAGAAGUGAAAGACGACGAGGAGAUCGUGACGAUGUCCGAGAGCACCCCGUAGAGAUCAAUCGGUCGCCGUCCCGAUUCUAAAGCUCUAACGAGCAAUUGAGAGUCUGAUCUGAGCCAGAUAUGGUUGAUGUUGAGAUCAAUCGCACUUAAGAGGGCUUGACGAAUCGCUAGCGCCUCCGCCAUGCAAGCUGAAGAGAUAUGAUCUUGAAAACAUGAGCCUCUUCCAACUUCCGAUCCAUCCUGAUUUGAGAAAAUCCAAGCUAAACCCCCCGUUCCCGAAUCGCUUUUCCAAGCAGGAUCGGUAUUACACAAGAUCGUCUGAGGGUGGAUGGGGAACGGUACUGACGGUAGCGAGAUCUUUGGGGCCGUAGGAGCGUCGAAAUGGAUCUGCGCCUGUUCCCAUUCUGUACUUGCGAUGAUUGCUUAAGCUACAAUCUCUGGGGCCGUCGAGGGCUUCUUUUCAAAGAUGAGUUGGUUUCGUGAUGUCCAGAUGAACCAACAUAGCCAAGGGAAGGCAUUGAUGCUGAGACCGUAAGGUGGGAGGACUUUCCACGAAUACGACGUCAUGAGAGCUGCUUUGAUCGAAGUACAUCCCGCUGAGUCGAAGGUAGUCGUCCAUGGUCCUAACGCCCAGAUUUCCUGCGCGAAUUUGCAGUGAAGAAGAAGGUGGAGAGUUGUUUCCGGUUCAUCUCAACGACAACACACACCGUCAACUUUUAUUCCACGCUUUAGGAGAUUUUCACCUGUAGGUAGUGAGUUGUGUCCCACUUUCCAUAAAAACAUUUUGAUUUUCGGUGACAUUUUCUGAGACCAAAUAUGUUUGUUCCAGUUCCAACCAUCCGUAUCAGUUGUGCUGUCCAAGAGUGAAAGAGUCGAUUGGACUUUGGUUUCUUGUAAGGAAAGGUACCCUGAUUUGGUGGUAUACUCUCCUGAGGGGUGAUAGCUCCAAAUAUGGGAGUCUGCUGCUCCGAACUUGCUUGGUCGCAGACUCAGGAUGUGAGCUGCUAGUUCAGGCAUGAGGUUGCAGACUUUUGCUUCGUUCCAUUCCUUUGUUUCCCGCGAGAGGAGGUCCGAGACUAGGAGGUCUUGAUCUUCAAAGGAGGUUGGACCAACAUGUCGAAGAUUUGAUUCAGGAUGAAUCCAAGAGUCCUUCCAGAUGCUAGUUGAUUCACCAUUCCCGGUGGCUUUCCCAAGAUGUUGAACUAGAAGAUCUCUGCCUAGUAAAACGCCCCUCCAGCCAUGAGAGGAGGAAGAUGACUGCGCGACUUUGACGAAUGAGGAGUUAUUGCAGUACUUUCCCACUAGUACCCGAGCUAGGAGGCAGUUAGGUUUGGUGAGGAUACGCCAGGAGAUUUUUGCAAGCAAAGCAUGGUUGAAAGCUUGGAUAACACGGAAUCCUAAACCCCCAGAUCUUUUAGGUAAAGUUAAUUUUGCCAUGAAACCCAACAGACUUUUUUCUCCCCCUCCUUUGAAUCCCACCAAAACCGUGUGAGAACUGACUGAAUUCGUUUGCACAAACUCACAGGUAGCUCGAAACAGGACAUCGCAUGGUUGGGGAUAGGUGAUAGCACUGCUUGGAGCAUUGUAGCUUUCCCUGCCAUCGAAAGAAACCGUGUGGACCAACUCUGAGAUCGUUGCUGCAUUUUGUCUACUAUGGAUGUAAAUAUGUCUUUCUUUUUCCUCCCAAAAAGCUCAGGUAAACCGAGGUAUUUUCCUACCCCUCCCUCUUUAUCUAUCCUUAGAUGCUGCUUCACCCUUAAUCUUACAUCCAGUGAUGUUUUUGAUGAGAAAGAGAUGGAUGACUUUGCUGCAUUAAUCAUCUGUCCAGAGGCUGAUUCGUAGCUGUGGAGAAUGUUCAUCAGAGUAGUGCAGCUUUGAGGGUCAGUUCUUGUGAAGAACAUCGUAUCGUCUGCGAAGAGUAAGUGAUUUAUUCUCGGGCUGUUCCGCGACACUCUAACCCCUGCCAUAUUCCCAUUUAUCUGUGCUCUUUUGCAGAGGCCAGACAAAACUUCACCACAAAGUAUGAAGAUAUAGGGAGAAAGAAGAUCUCCCUGUCUGAUCCCGCGUUGUGGUGACACACUACCAGCAACUACAUUGUUGAUGAGGAAAGAAUACGAGACGGUGGUGAUACACUUCAUCACUCGAUGAGUCCAGGUAUGAUGAAAACCCAAUCUUUCUAGCACAGCUUCUAUGAAAGUCCACUCUAGCCUGUCAUAGGCUUUACUAAUAUCUGUCUUUACAGCCAUCGAAGUGUGAACAGUGGCCCCCGAAGUCUUUAGGUAGUGAAGCAUUUCAUGGGUGAUCAGCACGUUAUCCGAGAUUGCGCGGCCAGGUAUGAAGGCUGAUUGAUUCUCAGAAAUGAUGUUCCUUAGGACUGGCUUUAGGCGUAGAGAUAGGAUCUUUGAAAUUAUUUUGUAAUAGACAUUACACAAAGCUAUAGGUCUGUAGUCAUAGACUUGCUUCGGACUGUUGACCUUGGGGAUUAACCUGAUGUGGGUGUCAUUUAUUGUGCUAGGUAGAUAUCCGGUUUCGAAGAAGAACUGAAUUUCUCUAACCAUUGCAGGUCCUACUAUCUCCCAGUUAGAUUGAAAGAAACUGGCUGAGAAACCAUCAGGCCCCGAGGCCUUGUCGGGGUGAAUCUCGAAGAGAGCCUUUUUUAUUUCCUGAAGGUUGGGGAUGGAAAUAAGAUGCUCAUUUGUCGACGUGGAGAUACACGGAGUCAGAGCCUUAUGAACUAUCUUUGUAGCAGAAGGGACCGUUGAGUUGAAGAUCUGUUGGAAGUAUUGUGAUAUUACUCCCACAAUCUGCUCAUCUUCAAAGACGAGGUUCCCCGCUGAAUCUUCUAUGGUGGUUAGCCUGUUGCGAGCUCGCCUCCCCUUCGUCGAGGCAUGGAAAUAUGCAGUAAUCAGAUUUUGACAUGGCUAGAUCUAAUUCUUUACGAAGCUCCUCGAUCAUCUUUUGGCUGUUUUGGUAGUUCAGUUUGCUCUAUGCCGCAAUGGCUUGUCGACACUUACUUAUCCUCUGCAUCACCGUAAGGUUAGCGCCUUCUAACCAUACUCUGUCCACUAACUCUUUUACUUCAGUGUUAUCCCGUAAUCUCCUAUCAUAUCUGAAAACUUUUUGUUGUUUCUUUCUUUUCGAGUCAAAUGUUGAUAGGAUUGGUCUAUGAUCCGAGCCUUCGAAGGAUAAGUAGUGUGAGCGCCCGUUAGGAAACAAGUCAGACCAGGAGCUAUUUGCUAUUGCAUGGUCUAGACGGCAAUGGACUAGGUGAGUGUGUCGUUGGCCUCUCCAGGAGAGGAAGUUGCCUGUAUGUUUGAGGUCGAAGAGGUCACACGUCGAUAGAAAGGAUCGGAAGGAUGUGAACGAGCUUUCAGUUCUUUCUUUUCCCCCAGACUUCUCCGAGUUGUCAGUGAUCUCAUUAAAAUCACCGGUGAGGAACCAUGGUCCAUCCCUUGUCUCUGGGAUGUUAGUAAGAGCAUCCCACACUGCCUGUCUGUUAGGAAUCUCGGGCGCACCGUAGACAAAGGUACUGUCAAAAGAUAUGUUUUUGAAAGUGAUAUGUGUAUCUAUGAAAUUCUGGCUCGAUGACAGGAUUUGAAUAUCUAUCUCUUUUUUCCAUAGGAGAGCAAGCCCUCCUGAGCUUGGGGUUAUGGGCGAGAAAAGGAAGUGUUGGGAAUUGAGAUUUUUGAGCUUCAUUCUUUGUCUCUGAUAAGAAGAUGAUAUCAGGGGAGUGUUGGGAAUUGAGAUUUUUGAGCUUUUGGACUGUUUGUGGAUUCCCGAGCCCACAGCAGUUCCAGCUCAAUACGACUAAGGAAGAGGAGGACGAGGGAUGGGAAAAUCCUGAUUGCUACUCCCUUCACCAGCUGUUGAGGUCUUGCUUGCUUGUUUGCUCUUAGUCCUUCUCGGUGUCUGCCUUGAUCGCUGGAGGUUAACUGGAGAAGCAAAGGGGAAUCCAUGAGAUGCAGGUGAUAGCCGGUGGAGGUUACGCUUUUUUGAGCAUGUUGCCGCUAGAAACCCUGGGCUGGGGGCAGUUUUCUUUUUCUUUUUUCCUGCAGAGUUCCCUAGCCUUCGCAGUACAUACUGCUUUGAUCCCAAUGGUGGUAGCUGAGGUUCCUCAGAAGGAACUUCAAUCCUAUCGAAAACCGAUGGGGUAGUGGGGAGUUCUUCAUUCUCCAUGUUCAGGUUAGUUGAGGCCGUCACUAUAAUUCCAGCAGCAGUUUCUGCCAUUAGAUCCUCCUUCUCUCCUUCAAUGAUUCUUUAUCUACGUGCAGCUCUUUCGAGAGGAUCAGCAACUUCUGUGUACUGGUGAGUCACUUCAAGAAGUUCUGCCAUAACCUCCUCCGUGGUAGGAAUUUGUGGAGGUUGAGGAAAGUCGCAGAUUGCUAGAUUUCUUUCUAGCGGUUGGCGAGUGGUGGGAUCCCUGGACGAAGAUCUUCUUGGCGGCGGCCUUGUCUCUUCCCUUUCAUUUCUCUGGUCCAGCGGUUAUGAUAUGGAUUUUUCUCUCCAUUGUAAGUUGGCAUGUCGCUCCUUAGGGUGAGAUAAAUCCCUUAUGUGCGCUCUCAUCGGAACUUCACCGUCUGCUCUCGAGUAUGCCAACAUUAUUACAGUAUAAUGGAUCCAUCGCACAUUAUUAUUCAGUUAAGUGUAUUGGAUGAAAGUGGCACUAAGAUAGAAGACAUUUUAGAAUAUUUUCAUUUGUGCUUUUUUGUCUAAAUUUAACCCCUCCAAAAAACAACUAAAACAAAUAAAAUUUUUGUUUGUUUAGUUAUUACAUGUUGGUUUUAAGUAUUCUGAUGUACACAGUACAGUUUUUACAUUUUCCCACUUUUUAUUAGAGAUAAGUUGAUUUGUUUGUAACGUGACACUAAAAUGUCAUUGUUUAGGACUAAAAAGUCAUUAGUUGGUUGAACUUAGUAAUAAAUUCCAGAACAAGAAAAGGAAGGGAAGAUGAAGGAGUGGUUGCCGAAAAAAGACAUAUGUUCCCUCAAUCAUUAGAAAUUUCAUUAGUUUCCACAUUUUCGACUCUAACUAAUCACCUUUCCCCAUUCUCUGUUUUUUUAUCUCUUUAAUACACUCGUUAAUUCAGAGUCUGUUGUUAUCCCUUGACCUUUGGUGUGUACUUGAAAAAGCAGAUAUAUUUUGUCUAGUUUUAAAACUUUAACCAAUUUGAAAUAAAUUAUUGUUAGUUUUCAGACGCACAUACGGAUAGGAAAUAGCAUUGGAGGAUGUUCAAGUCUUAGUCAUUUAACCGUCAAAAAAGAUAUAAAUUAUUAAAUAGCUUCGUUCUCAAAAUGUUUACGAUAGAACACAAUCAAAUACACAAAUAAAAUCAUAUUGUUACUCGGGACAAUUAGCUUAAUAUCAUAAAAAGAGGCCUAAUUUAGAAAACUAUCCAAUAAGUGACAAUAGAAGUCUAAGCUCUAUUUCUUUCGGCUGAAAUGGACGAAAGUACCCUCGCUUCUGACAUAGAAUAUGACGACUUGCAGCUUGUAAAGUACGAGUGGGAUUUUCUAACAGAUACCGAAGGUGACUGUGGCAGACGUAUGCCUGAGCUAUUCUUCUUUUCUUUAACCUUUUUCCUCCAGUUUGUGUGUCCAUAUCUUAGACGCUAUCUCCAAUGUUGCGUAAAGAAACCCCACUUAUUUACGGUUUUAAAUUUGAGGCACUGUGGAUAAUAAAGUAGAUUAUAAGUCUUAGCUGAAAGAGAGAGUGUUGGGUUAGGAGAGAGGCGAAAACGAAAACUGUAUGUGAAAAUGAAAAAAAGUUUGGAAUUCUAUUGAUAGUUAACGUUAUCGCCAAAGUAAGAAGAUAUGCAUGACUGGAUUUUUGAGCCACAUUAAUAGCUUUCUAAAACAAAAUGGAUUGGAUGCAGAGAGAUCCAUAUAUAUUUUUUAUUAAUUUUGAAUCGUUCUUGAUUUUCAGAGAUACAUGAACUAUGGGCCAGUUGGUGAGGCUUGUCAUCGGUGACUGGGAGAGAAGAGGACCAGGACUUUGGAAAUUCCACGUGGAUCACACUAGGGUUAAAUAUGAUGCUGUCCUAAAGGAGAACGAGAGCUACAACUCAGUGAUUAAAAUGGUACGUUCAAAGUACAAACUCGAUCAGCUCUUGUUACUUACAGAGCUGGUGCUGUUGACAUAUGACUUCCCUGAGUAUAUGACUGCUUCAGGAGAUUAUACAUCACCGCCCUUUGAGAUUAAAGAAAAUAGUGAUGUGGAGAUGUUUAUGGCGAUUAAGAUUGAUCAUGUGGGUUUGGAGAUGUAUGUUACCUUUGGCUACAGAGAUGUAGAUUCAUUAGUGUCUCUUCGAUUAAUCCCGCCUCCUGACACAACAAUGGUGUGUUUCGGGAGACGAUGUUGUAUGAAAAGCAGAGUAGUAUUGUCAGCUAGGGAUGCACUGUAUGGUUAGGUGCGUAGGGGCAAAACGGACAUUAGAAUUUUUUCUGUAUAGCUAUGGUAAUCGCUUAAUAUAAGGGAUAAAUUGUGGUCGCUAAUUUUCCCUCGUUACUCCGACCUUUGUAUUAUGAAAAAAGGACGAUAAUGUUUACUACAAAACUUUUCAGUGAUGAUUAGGUCUGGGACAGAUUCGGAUUCGUGGUGUCUGGAUAUUCGUAUUUCGGAUAUCGGUCUCUAUAUUCUAUUACCCGCGGAUAUGCGGAUUCGGAUCCGGAUCCGUAAAAAUAUUUAAAUAAUAAUAAUACUAAAAUUUAAAAAAUGAUACAUAAAUUAAAUUUUUGUACAAGAUUUAUAAAUAUCUCUAUAAUAUUGUAAAAAUCAACUAAAAACUAAAAUAUAGUAUUAUAAACUUAAUUUAUGUAUAAAUAUUAAUAUAUAAAAUAUAAAUAUUAAUGAAAUUUAAAAAUUUAAUGUGUUUUGAAAAUACGGAUCCGGAUAUCCGGACUUAAAAAUUAAGAUAUCCGGAUCCAAAAUUUUACUAUUUGGAUUUAGAUCUGGACAUUUCGGAUAUCUUAUUUUUUUAGCGGAACUGGAACAGAUCUCGAAUCGAAUCUGGAUCUCGGAUAACAAACCGAGGCCUAGUGAUAGAUAAGUUUAGUUGUUUAACGUUUUCACGAGAAUCUGAUUAUUUAUCAGCUUUAUUUCUAAAAGAAGAAAGAGGAAAAAAUAUAAAAGAGAAACCAAUGAUUGCUUACAAAAUCUCCACGUCACGUAGCAGAAAUGUUAAGAGUGAGUUGCAAUUUAAAUAGUUAAUUACGUAGAAAAAUGGCUACCACGGUGGUCCAGACAAAAUCCACGUGAUGCUCGUUGUUAUACGAUAAUAGGCCUAUGCUGUGCCACGACACUAAGCUAGUUGUCUCCAGUCCUCAUUUCAGGAUAUUUCUCAUGCUGUGAUAGAUCUUCGUGGUUUCCUAGCCGUCGGAUAUACAAAUCCAACGGUUCGGAGAGUUAUAUAUAAUUUUUUUUUUUUGCCAAAGGUUCUGAAUGUUAUUUUGGUUGAGAAAGUAUGGAUGAAUGCAUAACUAUUGCAUUAACGCAACUAUGUAAGACCCUUAAUAUUAUAAGUUGAAACGUGAAUCAUUUGACAAGUGGAGCAAUUAGCUAGGUUUGCCUAUUUAUUUUGAGUGGGUGUCAAAAAAAACUAUGUUAGAAUGCCUUUGGUCCAAAAAAAAACUAUUUAUUUUGAGUGCGAGUUAUAACUAGAACAUUUUAGCAAAAUUAGAAUUAUAACUAGAACGAUUUUUAGAUAAUUCAAUAUCAAAAUACUAAACAAUGCAGAUAGAAUAUGAAGUGAAUAUAAUGACAUUAGUUGAAACGUGUAUCAUUUGCAAAAACUUUGACUAAGGAAGAUAUGGAAAUUUUUAGAUAAUGACAUAAGUUGAAACGUGUAUAUAAGGAAGAUCUGGAAAUUUUGGUAAACGAAAGAAAUAGUUACACUAAAAAACUCUUUAAGUUCGGAAUUAAAUUAUGAUCAUCUCAUUACCAAGUUGAAGAGGGAAUAUACGCGAUGAUUAUUCGCGCACAUGAGGGGAAUAAAAUAUAUUCCCUCCGUUCCAAAAAAUAAGAUGUUUUAGAUUUUUUACUUGUUCCACAAAGAUAGAUUUUCUUUAUGUUUAAAAUAUUUUUUUAUACUUUUAAGAAACAUUAAAUGAAAACAUUUGAAUUGAUUAAAUUUCAUUAGUUAAAAGUUAUUGAAAAAUGUAUAAUAAAGUAAAAAAUAAUUUACCAAGUUGAAGAGGGAAUAUACGCGAUGAUUAUUCGCGCACAUGAGGGGAAUAAAAUAUAUUCCCACCGUUCCAAAAAAUAAGAUGUUUUAGAUUUUUUACUUGUUCCACAAAGAUAGAUUUUCUAUAUGUUUUAAGUAUUUUUUUAUACUUUUAAGAAACAUUAAAUGAAAACAUUUGAAUUGAUUAAAUUUCAUUAGUAAAAGUUAUUAGAAAAUGUAUAAUAAAGUAAAAAAUAAUUUAAAUUAUAAACAUUUAUUGAAUUCUUAAUAAGCGUGAACACUUUAGAAAAUCUUACUUUCAGAAACAUAAGGAGUAUAUUCUAAUAAUUGUUGAAUACAAACUUUGACAGUUCAACUAUAAUUAUAUCAUUCAUAAGCCCUAUAUAUAUUAGUCUAAAUAUUUAUUAAAUGUGAUUUUUACUCAUAUGGUUUUAUGAUCAUUUGUAUUUUAUUAUAACAAAAACUUUAAACUAUAGAUCAUAAAAUUUUCAAUGUAAGACUUUUAAUAAUUUUCGUUAUUUAUAGGCGUUUUUAAAAUUCAAAAUAUAACAUAUACAAAAAAAGCUAAAAUUUUCUAUUAUAUGGUUAAUAUGAUUGUUUAAUUUAUUUUAAUAAUAUAAAAUUUAAAAAAUAAAUGGAAUAUAUGUAAAUUUUUGUCAAAUCCUUAUUACUAAAAUCAUCAGUUGUCAAAUAUAUAUUUUAUUCACUUUUGGUAAUUCCGUAAUUUUUAUUUAAGGAAAGAAUGAAAAAUAAUAAUAAUAGAUUGUUAAUUAAUUUCAUGGUUAGUUUAAUGAGAAGUAUAUAAUAUAGUGAACCAACAUAUUUUUCUAGAGACUUUAAGAAUAAUUUUAGUGAUGAUACGUGUCAUAGUUAAAAUGUUGUCAUGGUUAAAAUAUUGUCAUGUUUCUCUUUUAAUACAUGAGAUUAGUAUAUUCUCCUUUUUUGCUAAUAAUAAUAGGGAAGUUUACUUAAAUAUACAAAAUUUUAGGACAAUUGACAAGAAUCAUACAAAUCUUUUUUUAUUACUGCAUUUUUUAAAUACCAAGCGUGCCUUUUUUUUUUACGUUAUGAGAAAAAACAUAUUUACAGGAAAGCCAUUACUUUUCGCUGCCACAUAACCAAAAACCCGGCGCCACGUAGGAAUUAUGUUCUGUGUUUUCAUUAAGCCAGCCGUAAUUCGCUACAUACGUCGUUACGGCUGAUUUAUAUCUACAUGUCGGCUGAAUAAACAAACGCGGCUGAGUUAAGAGGAAAAUGCUGACUUAAGAACAUAAGUCAGUCGGACGGUACAGUUGAAUUACAAAAAUAUGGUUGAUUUAUGAGAUAAAGGCUGACUUACAGACAAAGGUUACGGCUGACUUAUAUAUCGGCGGUUUGUCUUCUGGAAAAUUUGGCUGAGUUGUAACUAAGAGACGGCUGAGUUAUGUUUCCCCGGCUGAGUUAAUGAAUAUCGACUGGCUGAGUUAUAUAAUUUACGGCCGACUAAUGUGAUGUUGUUACGGCUGAGUUUAUGAUUAGUCGGCCGUAAUAGGAUGGAUUAACAGUAAAGUCAGCUCGGUUACAGCUGACUUAUUAGCGAAAGAUUAAUUACUAGAAUAUCAUUCGUUUGACGGCUGAUCUAUGUGACGAUACGGCUAAUUUAUCGUUUUUCAUCCUAAUUACGGCUGAUUAAGGAUCAAAAGAUUAAUUACUGAAAUAUUUCCAUGGUUCGGCUGACUUAUAUUAUAAAUGAGAGCUGAUUUACGGAGGCUGAGUUAUAUAUUUGUUUGUCGGCUGAUUAACCGAUUUUCCAUGUCAUCCGCCAUGUCAUCAACUCGGAUUUGCCAUGUCAUUGCUAACGAACUACUUUAAAACUACGUUUAUCUGUCUGUUCAUCUUUUUUCUUCAUCUUCUUUAUCUAUCUAUAUAUUUAUCUUAUUCAUCUUAUUCUUCAUAUUUCUCCGAGAUCUUAUGGAUCCGAUAAUUAUUGUUUAUGGUAACUGGAUUAAGAAAAACAGAUAUGUAUUCAACGCCGACAGUAAAGAGUGUAGAGUUCUGCAUUUAAAUGAGAAAACAAAACAUGAAGAAUUCGCAAAGUCUGUACUCGAUGAUUACAGAUUGAAUGAAUUGAGAACAAGAGAUUAAAUUCGCGAACGACACUCCACCAGUUUACGGAGAACAAGGAUGAUGAAAUGAAUCGGAAUGACAGAGCAAGAGAGACGAUGAAAAGAAUUGGGUUUUAAUGUUUUGUAUUACGGCUGGGUUUUGGGUUUUAAUGUUUUACAAUACGACUGAGUUAUAUAAACAUGUUACGAUUAUAUUGGGGUUUCUUGAUUAGUAUAACGGCUGAGGUAUGAAUUUUAAUGUUUUCGUAUUACGACUGAGUUAUCGUUAAUUUCUGCCUUAUUUAACUUUUUAAACUCCACGUGAUUAUCGUCUCCAUGUUAUAAAUGGCCUCGAUAUUAGUUCUGAGCCGUCAAAUCAAGAAAGACGAAACGUCCCAUUAUUAUAAGGCGUUUAAUAUUAUAAAAAAGGAUUACCGUGAAUGUUAAAUCAGUUUUUAAAUACUAAAGUAUCGUCUCGAUGUUAUAAAAGCCUCGAUAUUAGUUCUGAGCCGCAUUUUCCAUACUCAGACGUCCCAAAGUAUCAAUCCUAAAUCUCGAUGGGCCAUGAUAAAACCCAAAAUAUUAACGGCUGAGUUAUGUUAAUAUUAAUGGCUGAGUUAUAUUAUGAGUUAAAUAAUAAAGUAUUACCGUCUCGAUCUCUACGAAGGCGUCGAUGUUAUAUUAACCAACAUGGCUGAGUUAUGUCAAAUAUCAUUGCUUAGUUAUAUGAACGUUACAUUAAUGGAUUAUUUCCCGAUACUUGAAUUGCCUGAAGAGAUUCAGGCGUUAGUGGUUGAACGUGUGGCCGGUAACUCCUUAAUAGAUCUCUAUGGCCUAAGAGCAUCGUGCAAGACGAUGAAGGCGUUAGCGGAGCGGAGCAGGGUAAACCAUUUUUACGAUGUGUUAUCCGUUCCCAGGAGACUCAAUAUGCCUCCUGAGUUGUUUAAAACUUGCUACGCAGAGAGAAAUCCAAGCACACUUUAUAUGAAGGGUGUACAGUUUUUCUUCACAUUUAACCUUCAGGAAGAAGGACUUGCUUUCAUGAAGCUUGCAGCGGAUGAAGGAUAUGAGCGUGCUGUGUAUACAUACGCAAUGACUAGAAAAAUAUUUUGGGGUGAUGAGGAGUAUUUUGCUCGUUUUACGAGGGAAUCAGUUGUCAGGAUCGGGAAACUAGUCCGACCUCUAAAAUGGGCAUGGGGUUUGUCGCACAGUAACGAGUUUCUGGCAAAGAGGGACGAGAUCAUUUCAACCGUAGUUCUUUCGUUCUAUAGUUGCCAAUGUGUUCCUGUUAUGGAGCGAGAUUGGGUCUUGUGGUACAUUGAAAACAGUAAGGGUGACAAAAUGUGUAACCACUGUUUCUGGAUCAAAGAGUUGGGGUUCUUCUUCCAUGAGUUUGAACCGAUGAGCGUGAUUAUGGACACAAGGGAGUGGUGAAGAUGUAUUCUAUCUGAAUAUUUUCUCUUUUUAUGUUCUUUGCUGUGACAUUAUUACGGCUGGUUUAUAUUUUACAUUAUGGUUGGGUUGUUGUCUUUUAAUUACGGCUGAUUUUUGUAAAAAGGGUUCUCUUCAAUUACGGCUGAGUUUUAAUUUCAUAAUGAUUGAGAUAUUUUGUUGGAGUGUUAUUAAAUACGACAUGACUGAGUUAAUUAAAUACGUGAUAGCCGAGUUAUUGUUACUUAAAGGCUGAGGUUGUGUUAACUCGGAAUCCGCCAUGUCAACAAACUCCUUGCCAUGUCAUCACUAACGAACGAAAUUUAUAACUUGUUUUAUGAGACUGUUCAUGUUCUUCUUCAUCUUAGUUAUCUAUCGUCUUCAUCUUUCUCAGUUGGUUAUGGAUCCAGUAAUUAUUGUUUCCGGUAACUGGAUUAAGAAAAACAAAUAUGUAUUCAACGUCGACAGUAGAGGGUGUAAAGUUCUUAAUUUAGAUGAGAAAACAACACAUGAAGAUUUCGCAAAGUCUGUUCUCGAUGAUUACGGAUUGAAUGAUUUGAAGGAUCAUAUUCAGCUUAACUACAUGUUCUCGAAUAAAGCAUUGAAAACGAUGGCUCACGACACUCCACCAGUUUACGUGUCCAAUACUCGACAAUUGCAAGGUUUUCUAAGCCUGAAGAAAAUCGAACAACUACGUCUCUGUGUGGAGAUUACGGAGAACAGAGCAAGAGAGAAGAGUAAAACAUUUUUGAGCUUCAGAUCAGAAGCAGAAGUAGAAGCUUCAAUAGUUGAGUCCAGAGACGAAAAUUACAGUGGGAGUUACGAUGGUUGCAGUUUGGAGAAGGAACAAGAGGACAAUGAGAAUGACUGCUCUAGUAAUGUCGAAGGAGAAAAACAUGACGUAGUCGGAGAAGAUGAAAUAGGCGAAGAAAACGAAGAAAAUGAAGAAGAUGAUGAAUUUGAAAGCCGAUUUGAUAUGUUCGACGAUUCAGACGGUGUGUCAUCUGAAGAUGAUAACUUCAGCUCAUACGGUGAGUCUCCUACAGAUGACGAAGAUUCACCAAUGCUACCUCCCAAGAAGAUAUAUCAGAACUUCUCAAUGAGCGGAUCUAAAGGGAAUCUGGAGGUUCUAAGUUUGGAGAUGUCGUCGAUAGACAUUGCGGUAGGUCAACGAUACGAUAGUAAAGACGAUUUGGAGAGACGACUGAAACUUCUUACAGUGAGGUAUAAAUUUGAUUUUGAUGUAGAAACAUCAACCCCGACAUCAUACGUUGUUAAGUGUUGGGUUGAUGGAUGUCUCUGGAGAGUUCGUGCUUCUACCCAAGGAGAAUCCAAGGCAUUUUAUGUUCGUAUUUACGAUUCGAAGCAUACAUGUUCUUGCACAGAGCAUUCUAAUCGAUCUCGACAACCAACACCAUAUAUUUUAGGUAUGUUGUACAAGAACUUUCUCGGCGACGUUGGUCCGGCCGUUCGCCCUACGAGCGUCGGAAUAGCUAUCACUAAGCAGUUUGGUAUAAAGGUAAUUACUUUGUUGUGGUUAAGUUAUUUUAACGACACGGCUGAGUAAUGUCAAAUGUACAGGCUAACAUAAUCAUACACUUCGGCUGAGUUACUAUAUAUUUAGAUGCGGCCGAGUUAUAGUAAAAUAGGGUUGAGUUAUUCAGUACGUUAUGGCUGUCUUAAUUAUUUGAUGCGGCUGAGUAAUGAUGAUCGUUUUUUUCAUGUGAGCAGAUGGAUUAUUGGAAAUCACAUCGGUCGAUGAAAUUUCCAAGGGAAAUCGAUGAGGGAACACCUGAGUGUGGGUUUGAAAGCUUGCCUUCUUACUUAUACAUGAUAAGAAGGGUAAAUCCGAGUACAGUUACGCGUCUUCAAAUCGAUCAGCUUGGAAGAUUCAUGUAUGUGUUUCUUGCCUUUGGUGCGAGCGUUAAUGGGUUUCCUUUCAUGCGUAAAGUUGUUGUAGUCGACGAUACAUUUCUCAAUGGUAAAUACAAAGGGACGCUACUCAUAGCACUAGCUCAGGACGGUAACCUCCAGAUUUUUCCAAUAGCCUUCGCAGUGGUUGACACAGAAAAUGAUGAUUCGUGGCAUUGGUUUUUUACGCAACUAAAACUUUUGAUUCCUGACGACGAGGGUCUUGCGAUAAUCUCGGACAUGCAUAACUCUAUAGGAAAAGCAAUUAGAAAUGUGUAUCCGUUGGCUGCUCGGGGAAUAUGCACCUACCAUUUAUAUAAGAACAUAUUGGGACAGUACAAAGGAAAAGAAGCAUUCCGUCUGAUGAAGAAAGCGGCGAGAUGUUUUAGGAUGUCUGACUUUACUGCGAUUUUCGAGGAGAUUGAAGCGAUUCAUCCUGCACUCCACGGCUACCUUCAAAGAGCUGAUGUCCGCAUGUGGACGCGUGUUCAUUUCCCGGGCGAGAGGUAUAAUUUGAUGACUACAAACAUAGCGGAAUCAAUGAACAGAGCAUUGUCGCAUGCUAGAGGUCUAAACAUUGUUCGAAUAUUAGAAACGAUACAGGUUAUGAUGACCAGAUGGUUUGCUGAACGGAGAGAGGAUGCCAGACUGCAGCCAACGACGUUUACGCGUGGUGUCGAGAAACUACUACAUGUAAGUCAGUCCUAACAGUAAAAAUAAGUCUGUCUUUAAAAUUUCUCUCUCUAUCUAAAUGGAAUAUUUCCCUCUUCUUGAAUUGCCUGAAGAAAUUCUGGCGUUGGUGGUUGAACGUGUGGCCCGUAACUCCUUCCGAGAUCUCUAUGGCCUCAAAGCAUCAUCCAAGUCGAUGAAAGCGUUAGCAGAGUGGCGUGGUGUAUACAAUUUUUACGAUGUGUUAUUCGUUCCUUGGGGACUCAAUAUGCCUUCGCAGUUGUUGAAGUCUUGCUACGCUGAGGGAAAUCCAAGCACACUUUAUAUAAAGGGUGUACAGUUCUACUUCACAUUCGGCCUUCAAGAAGAAGGCCUUUCUCUCAUGAAGCGUGCAGCAGAUGCAUGAUAUGAGCGUGUUGUGUAUACACACGCAAUUACUCAAACAAUCUUUUUGUGUGAUGGGCAGUAUUUUCAUGGUAUUCCAAGAGAAUGGGUUCAGAGGUUAGGGAAACUAGUGCGAUCUGUGAAAUGGGGAUGGGGUUUGUGGCAUUCUGACGAGUUCCGCCAAAAUAGGGCGCUGUUCAUUUCAAAGUUUGUUCCGUCGUUCUACAGAUGCCAAUGUAAAACACAUGUGUGGCGACAAUGUCUCUGCUUGUGGCACUUUGAUAUGACUAAGGAUGACAACAUGUGUGAGCGCUGUUUCUAGAUCAAAGAGAUUAGCAUGUUUUUACGUGAUUUUGAACCGAUAAGCGUUAUUAGGGACACAAGGAAGUGGUGAAGAUGUAAUCUAUCGGUACCUUAUCUUCUUAAGUUCUUUGCUAUUUUCUUUUUAAGUUCAAAUGAAUGUAAUGAAGGCUUAGUUAUUGUUUCUUUUGGCUGAUUUAUUGUUCAAUUACGGCUGCAUUACUGUUUUAUCACGGCUGAUUUAUUGUGCAUUAAACACUUAAAAAAAAAGGUUCAUUUACGUGCAUUACAAAACAUUCAGAUUUCUUAGUUUACGUGCAGACAUGUAAAACGUCAAUUACAAACGAACGGAGGGAGUAAUAAUUAGCCUCGAUAUUCUCAUAUUGUUGGCUGAGUUAAAGUAAUAAUUAGCCUCAAUAUUUUAACCACGCGCCACCAUUAAUCGACAACUCAGUCCAAUCAAGCAAGUGGAAACGUCCCAUUAAUAAUGAAAGUGGGUGAGUGAUAAUCUUCGUUGUGGUAUAAACAAUGAUGAGUUAGCUGAGUUACUUUACACUUUACGGCUGAGUUACUUUAUACAUUACGGCUGCACGGCUGAGUUACUUUACACUUUAUAACUGAGUUACUUUAUACAUAACGGCUGAGUUUCUAAACAAUGCUAUCAUUUGUUUGCUUCACGGCUGAGUUUGUAAACAAUGUUAUCAUUUGUUUGCUUCACGGCUGAGUUUGUAAACAAUGUUAUCAUUUGUUUGCUUCACGGCUGAGAUACUUUAAUACGUUAAGUCUGAGUUACAUAAAACAUAGGCUGACUUACAAAACAUUACUAAACAAAGUAGUAGUAGUAGCAAAGUAACGACAUUCCAACCCCACAAACAAACACAUUCCUCAAACACCGACCUUGACUCAUACAUUCUUCUCCUUUUCCCUCAGAUGCCGUCUUUAUUACUUCAAUCUCUUUCUCCAACCGAGCAACACUAAGUCUGAAUUCCGAGAUGUCUUUGUUCAUGCCACUUAUCAUUGACUUAAUAUCCUCAACCUCUUCAACCAAACACUCAUCCGCCCAUUUGAGUAAAUGUCUCUUUUUCACAAUAUAACCAGAUCUAAGUACUACGUUACAGAACAUGCAAAAUAAGAACCAAAACGAACCUUAUUAUAUACUUUUCCGCAGCAAUAGUACAAUCUUCAUGGAUUUGUAGCGGUUCCAGAUGUAGAAAUGUAACAGGGUUCACCACACCAACACUGUUUUGGCGUUCCUCUUUCCGCGUUCAAACGGCGUCUGUGAGAAUUUCCUGAAACGCAGGAUGAAGAAGACAUUUUGAUUCUCAAAACAAUUUCAGAAACGAAAUGGAAUUACAUGAAAUUAGGGAGAGCAAGACGACAUGAUGAAACAUCAUCGUUUCCACACGCGCCAUAGUUAUAAUAAUAUUUAAAUGUGUCGAUAUUGUAAAUCGCUCGACACAUGCGUCACAGACUGUUAAUAAUUAGCCUCGAUAUUAGGUUUGAGCCGUAUUUUCUACACGCGCCAUUAUUAAUCGACAACUCAGUCCAAUCAAGCAAGUGGAAACGUCACAUUAGAAAUGUAUUAUAUUAACAUUCACAGCUGGGUUUUGCCAUUUUACAAUGGCUGAAUUAUGAUUAAUUUAUUUACGGUUGAGUUUCGGUCACUUAUGGCUGGAUUUAUCGUAAACUAACAUUCACAACUGAGUUACCUUAUACGUUUUGGCUGAGUUAACUUUAUGUUUUCACUAAGUUAACAUUCACAGCUGAGUUAUUUUAUACGUAGAGGCUGAGUUAUUAUAAAGAUACGGCUGAAUUAAACAAACACAUUAUGACUGGGUAUACAAGAAAUAUGAAUUCGACACGUUUACAUUCAGGAACCAAAAUUAUCAGAUUCAAAAUACAGACAAGGCAUCACUUUCAGAAACCAAAAUAGUCAGGACCAAACUCUUCAAACAUGUAGACGAGAUCACGCCAGACUCUUGUUAACAUCCACGGAGGCUUGUCGCCUCCGAUUGCCCAAGUUCUCUUCAAAUAGCGCAUCUGGCAAUGAAAUAGUGUUCUGGCCACAAGAUUAAAAUGUGUCCAAACUGUCGAAUUAUGCCUUCGAUCCCAUGUGUUUUUGCGCUACAAAAAAAAAUUACAAAACCGUUGAGAACACAAGAGAAAAAUAACUCAGCAAUGCUAUUCUGCCAUUUUAAGUGGACAAACUGUUCUUACAUCGAGUUGAAGAAACCAGCGUUUCUUAAAAUGAUCGGGAAUUGCGCGGUAUGUCGGCCAAUCAUGAACCCAGCCUUCUGCAAGAAUCGACGGGAUGACGAGAGAGAUCACUUAAAAAUUUGAACCAGAUAGUACUGGUUGUGUCAAGUAAUUCACCCGGACCAGGGUAUAGAAGAGGGAGCUUUUCACGAUUUGCAGAGCUUAGUAUCGCAUUGACAUUGUUCUCUAACAUCGUUGAAUAACCAGGAACAAUCGUCAUGACUUUUGAUGGGGAUUGAGAGUUUUUGUUUACGUUUUUUUAGAGAGAGAAAGGUGUAAGAGAGGAGACAAUAUAUAGAGAGGUACAGAAUGUCAAACGUCUCGAGUUAAAAUUUCCCAAGAAGCAGUUAUCUUUUUCCCACCAAACGUCAGGAUGAAGUUACACUUUACGGCUGAGUUACAGACCACAUUUACGGCUGACUUAGUAAAUGGGGUUUAGGGUUUAGGGUUGCUUAUUUAGGGUUUAGGUUUGCUUUUUCGGGUUUUUAAGUUUGGGAUUUGGAUUUAUGGUGCAAGAAUAGUUAUAAAAACACAAAUUCAUGAUAAAUAACACAAUAAUAGUUUAUGAGUUUUGAAUUUUGCUCACACCUUAUAUGUAUCAGUUAAGUUUAUGAGUAAUUGUAAGACAAACAUAUACCUCAAGAUCAUGAUUGAUUCUAAACUCGUAGAUUCAAUAAAGAAGACACAUUCAGUUGAUUACAUAUUCACUUCAGAUAUAUAAUUGGAGUUUCCAUUUAAAAUUUUAAAGUAUAAACAUUUUUUUUUUUAUUAUAGGGUAUGUUUGAGGUAUGGCUGAGUUAUAAUAUCGUAACGGCUGACUAAUACUAAUCGAUACGGCUGAGUUAUAUAAACAUGUUACGAUUAUAGGGUAUGUUUGGGGUAAGGCUGAGUUACGUAUAUACGACACGGCAGAGUUAUAAAAACGAUAAAACUGAGUCAAAUACUUAAUAACAACAUAAGUCAAGUACUGUGAAAUCAAGAGGCCGCAUAUUAGUAGCUUUAUCGACACUACCAAACUCCUCAUUCAAAGUCCUUUUCACCCCUGAUUCCUUUUCAAGCUCCUUGGCCAAAUUCUUUUUCGGUCCAAACUCCUUACCAGGAGUCGCAGCUACUAACGCUGGACUAUUGACAGACUUCUGAUGCGUUCGAACCACCGGUGAUGCCAUCGAUAAAGAGUUAUCUGAUAAUUGUGGAGAGGGGUUAUCAUGGUUUUCGGGAAUUUUCCCAAUCCCCAGAUCUUUCAGACGCUCCUCCAGUAAAGCAUUCACCCUGUCAUCAAUGGUCUUUUGGUCCAUCAAUGGUCUGUUCUGGUCUAACUUGUAAGCUUCCAACCGUGAGUCAACCUGAUCAAAUUUUCUGGAAAUAGUAUCCAGAGUACUCACAAUGGUCGUUAGAGUCGCUUUGUUCUCCAACACCAACUCUUUGCUACCUUCCUUCUCGCUAGAACCCUUUCCCGCUGCAUCAGCUUCAGACUCAUUCUGUGUCUUAACUUUCUUCUGCUUCUUAGUGGGUGGCUCAGCUUCUGACGAAACUCCACCCUUCAUUCUCUUCUUCUCAUUCCCCUUCCCCUUUGCAUUCCCCUGCACUUCCCACAAACCUUUCACAAAUCUACUUGAAUGUAUGUCUGUUAUCAACCUAACGAGUUGUGGGUCGUCAUCUUCACCCGGCCAAAUAGGAAACAUCUCUUCAAUUGAGUCCUUCAAAAUUAUUCUCCUCACACGCACCUGCAACACCAGGUUAUAACAAAACUCAGCCUCCAAACAAACACAAAACUCAGCCAUCAACUAAAAUAAUUCAGCCGUGAUUUAACACAUAACUCAGCCAUCAACUAAAAUAAUUCAGCCGUAAUUUAACACAUAACUCAGCCAUUAAGUAACUCCGAACUCAGCCAUAAAAUAAAUUAAGUCAGCGUUAAACCUUACCUCGCCAUGCUUUUCGAUUUCGGCAGACAACAAUUUAUCAAAGUUUGCACGUGUACUCUUUCCACCCCAUCGCAAAAGCGGAACGUCUUCGUUAUUGAUCACUCUCCCAAAACUCUCACCGAAGCAUGUGACGGAUUCAUAAGCCCAAAUCAAUAACGCGUCCUUCAUGCCGCUUAUUGUGUAUGAACCUCCAUCUGGAGCCAACGUUUUAAUAGAGUCAAUUAGAACUUCGUAUGCAGUCCGACCCCAUGGAUACGACCUCAUGGCUUCAUCGUCGAAUACCCUUAUUGCACUUUGAAAGGGUAUCCUUGAAUUGUGAUGCAAACAAUAGACUCCCAUGGCUUGAAGAAGUAGCAGCCCCAACCACUUGCGCUUUUCAAAACUCCAAAGCGGACAGAACGCUAAUGCUGCCUUCAGUUCAUCUAACUUUGGUCCCAUCCCAAGCGGCACCUUCAACUCCCCCCCAAAACUCGUUGUAUUGACCAUGAUCAUAUUUUUCUGUUGGCAAUGGAUCUGUGUUUAGCCCAGUGAUCUCACCAAACUCGAGCAAGCUAAACCUGAUAGCCUCAUCAGCCACGAGACACCAUAUCUCCUUCUUUAUAACUCGCAGCUGUCUACACAGUAGAUAGUGCACGGUCCUACCAGACCACAUGCUUUCGCGUUCAGCUAGCCUAGCAACUAUUCCAAUGGGAGAGAGCAUCGAUCUGAUCAUAUAACCCAACAAUAAAAUCAGCCACAACAAAACAGUAACUCAGCCGCAUCAUAAGAGUAACACAGUCAUAACAUAAUAUUAGGUUAUUCACGACACAAAUAUAACUCAGCCAUAACAUAACCAUAACUCAGCUGCAACAAAACCCUAACUCAGACGCAACGAAACCCUCAACAAAACAAAAUCACAGCCGCAACACAACCCUAUCUCAGUCGCAACAAAAUAUAAAUCAGAUGAAAUAUAAUACAUAACUGACCCAAAAACUCAACAAAACACAAUAUAUAACGUCACGAUAUCCUACCGGAAAAGACGAACUCGGAGAUAAGAAUGCGGCGAAGACGGCGGCGAAGACGAUUUCGUACAAACGAGUUCAGAAUUCUGAUUUCGGGCACGAUGAUAACAGAGAAAACAGAGUACAACGACAAAGAGCUAUUUCGACAAAGAGGAAGUUAACACAGACAAUGUCGAUGACGGAGAGUGGGAGUAUCCUCGCGGUUCCGUCUCGACGGUUCUUCUUCGAGACGACAAAACGAUGUUCUUAGUUAGUUUUUUUUUUAAACUUCGAUUUAGUUAUAUUGGAAAAGAGACGGUUUGGUUUCUAUUGUGGUGGUGAUGUGUAAUUUUAAUUACUGAGGUGGAUUAUAUGUUUAAAAGUAAUUUCAAUUAAAAAAAACUAACUAAAGGCCCUUAGAAUCAUUUACUAUGGGUGUCUAAACAUUUUAGUCAUUUUAAAAAGAUAUUUAACAUUCUAAUAAUAAACCAAUUUUUGUUAUAGUCAUUUUCUCGUAAUAAUAUUUCAUUCGCUAGUUGCUUUCUAAUGAUUCUACUCUCCAAUGAACAACUUUUUGAGAGGCCAUUGGUCCGACGGCAAGUCGAAUCCAACUUACUUAUGAUGCUUUUGAGCUAUGAUGUUUAUUUUGCGCACCUCUUAUCUGUUAAUUUUAGUUAUCACUGUAAUAAUUCGUUAACUGUAUCCAUGUAUCAUUGGUUAUUUUUUAUUUAUUUUUAAGGCUUAUGUAUCAUUGGUCAUUAACACGUUCGUGUAGUUCGACGACUAUUAUUUAAAACAAUGAAAGUUGUACAUGUAUUGUAUACUUUCAUAUUACUUGUUUUAUUUUUGGUUACAAAUCAAAGGUAACCAGAUCCUGGGAUUUGUUUUGUCGAAUCACAAAUGCAAUUUUAUAUCAUACUCCUGAAAGAACUGCUUAUAUAUUCGUCGACUUCGUAUUUUUAAUUUGUCUUUAUAUGUACCAACACCUUGGCAACCUUACAUGUCACAUCAUAAUACAAAAACGUAUAAAUAAUUUGACUAUAUACCAUAAACAUAUUUUGAUUUAACAAACUAAUAGAAAUGAUUAAUGUAAUCAUACCACGGAAUAUCUUAAAUCAAAUAGAAGGAUCCAUCAAUAUUAUUCAAGAGCAUUAGCGCUAGUCGGAUCCUCUCGAGCCUCCGGAUAAGAGGAUCAUCGAAAAAAAAUAUUAUUCAAGGGAGUUUGUUGUUUUGUACACCCAGGUUUGAUUAAUCUUCACACGGUAAGAAGAAUAUGGAUCCUUUGUUCUCUGUAUUAAUACUAUUUAUCUAAUGAUAGGUGAAAACGAGUUUGACAUGAUUUUGUAUUACAAAACUGAUAUUCCGGAAAUGCUGAUCACGUUUAUCAUUGACUUCGUGAUAUUUAGUUUGUUAAUCUUUAGCAUGAUGUAAAAGCAAACAUCAAAUGCAAACGGAAUAGAAAAAAAUGCAAACGGUAGAAUUCCUUCGAUUUACAACUUUGCGUUUUCGCUGACAUACAAUAAAAAUGAUCAAUAUGGUAAAUACAUUCAUCAUCUUCUCUAGUCAUGUAUUAUGUUAAGCUAAGAUAAAUAAUAUAACAUAGUUCAGUCUUUGUAGCUGCUAAUAUUUUCUCCCCUCCUACAUCAUUUUAAAAGUUACAGUUUCACUUUUUUAUAUAUUCAUAAUCUCCUGUCAAUUGGAAAUAUAAAUUCAUUUUUUUCUUAUUUAUAUUAUUAUAUAGUUAUAAUGUUGAAUGAUUUUUCUAACAUUUCUGUACAUUUUCUUACAUCAUUUGUCACACAAAAGUUUUGCCAUGUUAUCAUUCAUUCUAAAAUUAUAAUAUAUUUUGAAUUUGAAUUGAUGGGUUCUAUUGUUCAACACUUCCAGAAAAAAAUCAACUCAUAAUUUAUCUCUGUGUGAAAGUUUUCAGCUCGUAUUAGUCGGCCGAAAACAUUUCAUAAUAUAUUUUAAAUGUGAAUGUUCUAAGCUCGUAUUACUAAUAAACCAUUUUUUAAUUAAUUUUUGACUAACGACAAAAAUUAAAAUUACAGAUUUAGGAGAUAUAUAAAACGAGCGCCUAAAGUUAAAAAAACUUUUAAACCCACAUUUUUCUCUCUCGUUAAUUUGUUUCUGUGGUUCCGGUCACCGCAGCUCUGUCAUCAUCUUCUCUCCUCUCUGCAUCUUCCUUCUUCUCCAUCUACUAAUCUCAAACCUACAAUAUCUCGAACUGUAGAUCUCUAUCGUACAUCGUCUUGUCCUAAGUUUCUGAAUACAGUUGUAAUUACAAAGAUUCGUUUUUUUUUUUCCUUUUUUUCCAAAAUUUCCAAAAUUCAGUUGUAUCGUUCUAUUUGAGAGUGUUUUAUUAAUCUGUAUCGAAAAGGACCCGACUUUAUCGGAGCUCCGGCUCUCAAGAGUUAUUCAAAUGGCUGCGUCAGAGAGAUCGAUGGACCAAGAAGUCGUCAAGAGCUCUUCCUUCCUACAAAAGUUCAGACUUUACGAAACACGCUCGGUAAAGAUUCCUCUCUCUCUCUCUCUCUCAUCCAUAGAUUUGCUAAAAGUCUAAACCUUUUGUCGUUUUUUUGUCUGAACAACAGAACUUCUACAUGAUCGGAAGAGAUAAAAACCGAACCUUUUGGAAGGUUCUCAAGCUAGACAGAACAGAGCAAACAGAGCUCAACUUCCACCAAGACUCAACUCCUUACACAGAAUCCGAAUGCUUCGAGACUCUGAGAAGGAUACACGAAGGGAACAGAUCAACCGGUGGGUUAAAAUUCGUCACCACUUGCUACGGGAUCAUCGGUAACGUUCUUAUUACACCAAAUCUUGUGCUCUACUAGUUGCUAGUUUUGACAUUUUCUUGGUUUUAUAGGAUUCAUUAGGUUCUUGGGACCUUACUACAUGCUGAUAAUCACUAAAAGAAGGAAGCUUGGUGAAGUUUGUGGGCACACUGUUUACGGUGUAGCAAAGAGCAGGAUUGUUACGAUUCCACAUGCUUCUGUUCUGUCCACUGUGGCAUAUUCUAAGGAUGAGAAAAGGUCUUCUUAUGUCACUUGUGCUUGUAAAAAUUGAAAAAAAAAACUGUACCUUGGUACCUUAUUUACAUUUAGAAAUUAUUAAAAACUUUUUCCACUUGUACUUAGAUUCUACUCUCUUUUUCUCUACUUUGAUCCAGCAGAUUAGUGUUUCCAUCUUGUUGCACUUUUUUUUUUUUUUUGUUUUUUUACUAUUUCUAGGUACAGUGGACACACUUUCUGUUUACUAUUUCUAGGUACAGUGGACACACUUUCUGUUUGUUGUAUAUAUUUUGAUAUGUUAUAUGACAAGAGGUAUUAUCAAGAAAAUGGAGAGCCUUUUUUAAAUAUUUUAUUCUGAUUUUGAUUUCUUCUGUUUGUUGAUAUGUUUUUAAGAUGAUUUACUGAUCCAGGUUCUGAAUCAUGUUUCUUUUUUUUUUUGCUUGUUUCUUUUGUCUUGUUUGGAAAUUUUUAUAGGUACAAGAGGCUUCUCUGCACUGUUGAUCUCACAAAGGACUUCUUCUUCAGCUAUUCCUAUCACAUCAUGCACUCGCUUCAGAGGAAUCUCUCAAACAAUGUUGAAGGACAGACUUACUAUGAAUCUAUGUUUGUCUGGAACGAAUACUUAACUCGACGGAUUCGAAAUAACGCCGAGGAUUGUAUGUGGACAGUUGCCUUGGUGUAUGGAUUCUUCAAACAGGUACUACUGUUUACAAAUUGGUCCUAUGGUUUCUACUACUUUUUCUAACAUUCUGAGAUAUGCACAUUCUAAUUUGUUUACCGUUGAAAUUACUUUUUGUGUCUAAUGUUUAGGUUAAACUAUCAGUUUCUGAGAAGAACUUUAGAUUGACUCUAAUUGCGCGAAGAUCUAGGCAUUAUGCUGGCACAAGGUACAAAUACUCCACUUAAGCUUGUUCUAUAUCUGCCAUUCAUUUGGUUAAAGCUGUAUUCAAUAUAGAAUUUGAAGUGAUUUUGUUUUUUAAUGAGUUUUUUAAGUAGUUUGAAUAACAGUGGAUUCGUCGUUUUCCAGAUAUCUGAAACGUGGUGUGAACGAGAAAGGCAGGGUAGCUAAUGAUGUUGAGACAGAGCAGAUUGUUUACGAGGAACCUCAAGAUGGCCAUCCCGUCAGAAUAAGUUCUGUAGUUCAGAACCGUGGCUCCAUACCUUUGUUCUGGUCUCAGGAGACUUCACGCUUGAAUAUCAAACCUGAUAUAACAUGUAUAUGAUCUUUGAUCAAUUUCUUUUCUGCUUUGAUAAUUUUUCUGUGUGAUGAUUCCUCUUUUCUAUGUGUAAAGUGUCAGCGAAAGACCCUAACUUCGAAGCAACCAGACUACACUUCGAAAAUCUAGCAAGGAGAUAUGGGAAUCCAAUCAUAGUACUGAACUUGAUCAAGGUUAGUUUAUCUUACUUGUCAAUGAAGUUACAAAAUCUUGAUUCAAGGCUCUAAUAUUCAUUUGAUUGUUAAAAAAACAGACACGUGAAAAGAGGCCAAGAGAGACUAUUCUGCGUGUAGAGUUUGCAAAUGCGAUUAAAUUUAUAAACAAAGGGCUAAGCAAGGAGGAGCGUCUAAGGCCUCUUCACUGGGAUUUGCAUAAACACUCCAGAAAGUACGUUGAAUGGAACACAACCCUCAUAUAGCUUAUAAGUUAUAAAGUUAACACAAUAAUGCUUUUACUGAACAUUGUUUUGGGUUGCAGAAAAGGCACAAACGUGUUGGGGAUUCUCGGCAGGUUGGCCACUUAUGCACUGAACUUGACUGGCAUCUUCUACUGUCAGCUAACUUCAGAUGGGUUUCAGAACCAGAAUCCAUCCACCGUGGAGUGAGUAUCUAAAUUUACCAACAUUUUUUUUACCUCUAUGUAACUGAUAUUCUGGAGACUAUAGACGAUUUAAUAAAAAAAAUUAAUAAAUUUUAUUUUAUUUUUGCUCAAAUUUACGGGCCUAUGUAUAUGUAAUUUUUUCAAAAGGUUUGGAGGCUAUAAGCAAAUGUUUCAUUCGGUUUUGCCCAGGACCGGCCAUGUGCUUACCAUUGUGUUGCUACCAAAUAGCCUUUGAUUUGAUUUAUAACCUCUUGGUUUUUAUUGCAGGAACAAUAUUGGUGAAUGUUCUACUUAUGAUCUUCCCACUAAAGAUGAGAUUGCAUCAGACUCAGUGGUGGAGAAUGGUAAUGACAGCAAGGAUCGACAAAAGGAAGCCACAAUUCUUCAGAAAGGAGUCUUGAGGACUAACUGCAUAGACUGUUUAGACCGCACCAAUGUUGCUCAGUACGCCUAUGGUUUGGUAGCAUUUGGGCGUCAACUCCACGCUUUGGGAUUGACAGAGUCUGAUACUAUUGAUCUAGAUAAUCCUCUCGCUGAAGAUUUGAUGGGAGUUUAUGAGACAAUGGGUGAUACUCUUGCGCUUCAGUAUGGAGGAUCCGCUGCACACAACAAGGUCUCUUUCUUAUCUUCUCUGGCCAUUACUUUGUUGCCUUGUUAUUAAACCUUGCAAUGAUCUUUUUUCUUUCUGUGGAUAGAUAUUUUGUGAAAGGCGUGGUCAGUGGAAAGCGGCUACUCAGUCACAAGAACUGUUCAGAACAUUGCAACGUUACUACAGUAACGCUUAUAUGGAUGCUGAAAAGCAAGAUGCAAUUAACUUGUAUGCUGUCUUAAACUUUUCUCUCUCUAAGCCUUUAUAUGCCAUCUGGUAUGACAAUGUUGUUUGACGUUUAACUUGUACUCUUCUUCUACAGGUUCUUGGGAUACUUCCAGCCACAACCAGAUAAGCCAGCGUUAUGGGAAUUGGGUUCUGAUCAGCAUUACAAUGCAGCAAGGUUUCUUGCCAGUUCUGUACCUGAGAUCUCAAGGUACUUUACACUUGUAGAGUCGUUUGAAACAUGUUAUGUUAUGUUACUUACAUUACAUUUUUUCCCCGUACGUUUAGGUCUACGAUAAAACGAUCUUUAUCAGAAAGUAGCAUCCUUAGUGAGGGCACUAGUACAGUAGCUGGUAGACAUGGUUUAGGUGAGAAGGAUGAAGAAGUUAAAGGUCUUUCAGAUUCAGCACCUGAGAUCAUCUCAACAUCUAAAACAACUUCCAUGAUUGCUGGUAGUUUCAGGUAAAAAACUGUUAAAUAAUGUUUUUAGAUUAAGGUUGUUGUCAGCUAAAUAUGGGGAAUGAAUUUGUGUGUUGUGUGUGUUUGCAGUGCUCCACCACCGAUACUGGAGGAGAUAGGCUUAGAAGAGAUACUUGAAAACGAUUGCUUCUGCUUUAAUGAUGAUAGGCAUGGUGGUGACCAAUGUACAUGUGCAGCUUUUGAUAUGGAUUGGGUUUCUUCUUCAGGAGCCUCUUGUGAAGAUGAGAGUUACGGAAGGUAAAAAAUUAGAAGACAAGAUCUCUCUUUAUGAAUUCAUUUACCAACCAAAUAUGUUGUCUGAAGUUGGCUUUUUUCAUGUUAUGCAGAUCAGCAUUAGUUAGAUCUUUUGAAACCAUCCCUGAAAGUACUAAUAUAGAGCCAGAGAUUUGUGUCAUUAACACAGAAGUGAGCAAAAUAAAUUAACACAAAGCAGCCGUUUGUGUUAGUAUCAAAUGCUUACUUUUUUUUGACAGAGAGAUGAAGUAACAACUGUGGAGGGAGAAGCGAUUAGUGGGAUUCCUCAAGGUUAUGUGAGGUGGGUGAUGGGCCAUUUCUGGUGACACAAGAGCUUUUCAACAGCUAGAUUGUUUUUACCAACAAAGAAAAUAAGAAGAUACAUGUUAGUGCUACUAAUGAAGAAAGAAAACUAUCAGAGAAGAAUAUACUAACAGCGCUAAUUCAUUAGUCAGAUUGGAAGAAAAAUGGUGAAAGGUGAGAAAGAAAUAAAAGGAAGAGAGAGAGUAGACAAACUUGUAUAUAAUUUACUUAUAAAGAAAAACAUAACUUAGAUCUUGUUGGAUAUAUCUUUGUGACAUUUUCAUUUUUUGGAGGGGGAUCUGAUUCCCGUAUGCAAUAAAACAGAGUGUAUGUUCAGUACUCUUCCAGCGUUUAAAACUAGACUAUGGAAUGGAGUUCGGACAGUUUUGGACCAACCUGUUUGAAGAUACUAGUACAUAAAGACACACAUGUUUUGUCUGUUUCAUAGUGUUAUUACCAGUAUUCUCUAAACUAACAACAUCUACAAAGUACAAUUCUUGAGAUGGAGAGAGGAGCUUAGUGAUGUGUCAAUGGUAUUAUUAACAUUACAAAGGUAGAUAAUGAGGUUAAUUCCGACAAAAAGGAUUUUAACCAAACCCGUUCCUAAUUAACUUGCGUAAAACGACAAAUUAGUCAUCAGUGGGUCCACGUGAUUUAACGUGUUUAAAACUAAAAGCACAUCUUUCCAAAAAAAGGACGGUGACACAAGACAUCCGAGUGUAGAGCACUUUACGAGGAAGACCACAUUCAUUCGAACCUUCUGGAGCGAGAGCCACUAAAGAAAAUAUCAAACCAAAUCUGAAAUCUCAGCCGCACCCUCAUGCUCGAAGAUGAUUGAGUUAUUACUCUCCACAACCGAUUAUAGUAAUCAAUUUUCACUUUGUUCAAAAAAAAAAAUGUAAUCAAUUUUCACAAGAUAUUUUAGCAUAUAUUGGCGAAUAAGUUAUAUCUUAAGUUCAUUACCUAUAAUAUUCAAGAUAUAAAUACAAUUGACAAAUCAUCAAACUCUUUUAUAUGAGCGGUAUCACAAUUUUUUUUUGGCACAAAUGUUAUAAUAGCAUUAUUGUUACUCUUUCAAUUUCAAAUUAGUUGUAAUUCUAGAAUUUUGCACAGAAAUUAUAAAUUAAGAAUUUAGGUGAGUGUUCAUAUUUUUCUUUUUGUUUGACCAUUAAAUUUACAUUACAUUAUUAUUUAUUUUAAUUUAAUUAAAGGUAAAAGAGACCAAUUAAUAGAAAAAUUGCACUGAAAUCAUAUAUGUUGUAACGAAUAUUUUAUAUUACAACAACAUUUAAUUUGAAACCAGUAUUGUUAUGUCUCACAAAUAAAACUUUUUUUACUGUGGUUAAUAAUAUUUUAAUUAUUUUUUUCAAAAAUUUGAGAGAUAUAUACCAAAUCUCUAAGCUUUUUAAAAACUAUAAUAUUAAAAUAUUAUUAUUUAGGGUGAAAUUUUUUAAUUAAGAAAUUAUUGAUGUAGAUGACGUAAACUGGAGAGUAGUUAAGAAAAAAACGUUUUUAGUUGAGUUGAGGAUAAAAGAAAAAAAAAUAAUAGUAUAAUAGAAGUCUCCCUACAAAAACAUUAAUUAGUAUUUGUUUGACCCAAUCAGAAGAGGAAGAAGAAGAUAAUUAUUCAGCUUAUUAUUAAAAAAAAGAACAAAAGAAGAGUAGAGAAAAAUAUCUAAAGACAAGUGGCAGAGAAGUGGUUCUGGAGAGUUCCAUUCUCUCUAACUAAUAGCGUAUACGUAUGAAAGGAGAGGAGUAGCACAAUAAUAAAAACCCUAUUUUAACCACCUCUUCUCUUCUCUUCUCUCUUGAGUUUCUUCUUUGUUCGUCUACGACUCCUAUCUAAACCCUAAUCAUCGUCCCUUGUGUUAGCUUCUUUAAGAACUUGCUUUCCAAGCAAAGCUCUAAAAUACAAGAAAGGGAGAGAGAGAGAGAGAGAGAGAUUACGACCGCAGCUGAUCUGACGAAAGAAAUUAUAAUCUCACCCGUCACGGGCAUAAGAUGUGUUCAAGGAGAGGAAUCUAACAUAUAUUUAUACUGAACUACACCGCCUCUCAGAUCGUGGAGAGCGAAUCAAUUAGAAUAAAGACGAAGACAUAAAUCAGAGCGUUUCAGGUCGUGGAAAGAAGCUUAAACGUCAGUGCCUCGCCACCGCACGGAGGGGAGCGACGGUCCUGGUUUCUUUGCCUCAGACGUUCUAGGGUUAGAGGUGACAUCAAUCUAUACGGGCCAGAUCUAUUUCCCAUUACAAAACCCAAUCGCACAACAGCAGACGAAGCCCAUGAUACAAUCGUGUUAGUGAUACGGUGUGUUUAGAAUAAUUGACACGUGUCAACUCCUGGAGAAACGACUUUCUGACCUGGCGCUGAUGUGGCAUCACAGGAGGGACACCAACAAUUUUAUAUAUAUAUAGAUUUAUGUUUUUUGAUUAAGCUUCUUUUAUAUUUUUGUGGUGGGAAACAGUUCUGCUUCAGGAGCCUCUUGUGAAGAUGAGAGUUACGGAAGGUAAAAAAUUAGAAGACAAGAUCUCUCUUUAUGAAUUCAUUUACCAACCAAAUAUGUUGUCUGAAGUUGGCUUUUUUCAUGUUAUGCAGAUCAGCAUUAGUUAGAUCUUUUGAAACCAUCCCUGAAAGUACUAAUAUAGAGCCAGAGAUUUGUGUCAUUAACACAGAAGUGAGCAAAAUAAAUUAACACAAAGCAGCCGUUUGUGUUAGUAUCAAAUGCUUACUUUUUUUUGACAGAGAGAUGAAGUAACAACUGUGGAGGGAGAAGCGAUUAGUGGGAUUCCUCAAGGUUAUGUGAGGUGGGUGAUGGGCCAUUUCUGGUGACACAAGAGCUUUUCAACAGCUAGAUUGUUUUUACCAACAAAGAAAAUAAGAAGAUACAUGUUAGUGCUACUAAUGAAGAAAGAAAACUAUCAGAGAAGAAUAUACUAACAGCGCUAAUUCAUUAGUCAGAUUGGAAGAAAAAUGGUGAAAGGUGAGAAAGAAAUAAAAGGAAGAGAGAGAGUAGACAAACUUGUAUAUAAUUUACUUAUAAAGAAAAACAUAACUUAGAUCUUGUUGGAUAUAUCUUUGUGACAUUUUCAUUUUUUGGAGGGGGAUCUGAUUCCCGUAUGCAAUAAAACAGAGUGUAUGUUCAGUACUCUUCCAGCGUUUAAAACUAGACUAUGGAAUGGAGUUCGGACAGUUUUGGACCAACCUGUUUGAAGAUACUAGUACAUAAAGACACACAUGUUUUGUCUGUUUCAUAGUGUUAUUACCAGUAUUCUCUAAACUAACAACAUCUACAAAGUACAAUUCUUGAGAUGGAGAGAGGAGCUUAGUGAUGUGUCAAUGGUAUUAUUAACAUUACAAAGGUAGAUAAUGAGGUUAAUUCCGACAAAAAGGAUUUUAACCAAACCCGUUCCUAAUUAACUUGCGUAAAACGACAAAUUAGUCAUCAGUGGGUCCACGUGAUUUAACGUGUUUAAAACUAAAAGCACAUCUUUCCAAAAAAAGGACGGUGACACAAGACAUCCGAGUGUAGAGCACUUUACGAGGAAGACCACAUUCAUUCGAACCUUCUGGAGCGAGAGCCACUAAAGAAAAUAUCAAACCAAAUCUGAAAUCUCAGCCGCACCCUCAUGCUCGAAGAUGAUUGAGUUAUUACUCUCCACAACCGAUUAUAGUAAUCAAUUUUCACUUUGUUCAAAAAAAAAAAUGUAAUCAAUUUUCACAAGAUAUUUUAGCAUAUAUUGGCGAAUAAGUUAUAUCUUAAGUUCAUUACCUAUAAUAUUCAAGAUAUAAAUACAAUUGACAAAUCAUCAAACUCUUUUAUAUGAGCGGUAUCACAAUUUUUUUUUGGCACAAAUGUUAUAAUAGCAUUAUUGUUACUCUUUCAAUUUCAAAUUAGUUGUAAUUCUAGAAUUUUGCACAGAAAUUAUAAAUUAAGAAUUUAGGUGAGUGUUCAUAUUUUUCUUUUUGUUUGACCAUUAAAUUUACAUUACAUUAUUAUUUAUUUUAAUUUAAUUAAAGGUAAAAGAGACCAAUUAAUAGAAAAAUUGCACUGAAAUCAUAUAUGUUGUAACGAAUAUUUUAUAUUACAACAACAUUUAAUUUGAAACCAGUAUUGUUAUGUCUCACAAAUAAAACUUUUUUUACUGUGGUUAAUAAUAUUUUAAUUAUUUUUUUCAAAAAUUUGAGAGAUAUAUACCAAAUCUCUAAGCUUUUUAAAAACUAUAAUAUUAAAAUAUUAUUAUUUAGGGUGAAAUUUUUUAAUUAAGAAAUUAUUGAUGUAGAUGACGUAAACUGGAGAGUAGUUAAGAAAAAAACGUUUUUAGUUGAGUUGAGGAUAAAAGAAAAAAAAAUAAUAGUAUAAUAGAAGUCUCCCUACAAAAACAUUAAUUAGUAUUUGUUUGACCCAAUCAGAAGAGGAAGAAGAAGAUAAUUAUUCAGCUUAUUAUUAAAAAAAAGAACAAAAGAAGAGUAGAGAAAAAUAUCUAAAGACAAGUGGCAGAGAAGUGGUUCUGGAGAGUUCCAUUCUCUCUAACUAAUAGCGUAUACGUAUGAAAGGAGAGGAGUAGCACAAUAAUAAAAACCCUAUUUUAACCACCUCUUCUCUUCUCUUCUCUCUUGAGUUUCUUCUUUGUUCGUCUACGACUCCUAUCUAAACCCUAAUCAUCGUCCCUUGUGUUAGCUUCUUUAAGAACUUGCUUUCCAAGCAAAGCUCUAAAAUACAAGAAAGGAAAAGGUAUGGCGUCGAACAACGGCAACGAUGAUUUGUAUGCUGUUCUUGGUUUGAACAAGGAAUGUACCUCGACCGAACUCCGUACUGCUUAUAAGAAGCUUGCUCUUGUAAGUCUCCUGUUUUGUCUGAACACGCAGAUUGAUUCUGUUUUUUUGCCUAACUUUGGAGUAUUGCAUGUAAUAAUAAUAGCUAACUGAUUUGUUUUUGAUUGUUUCAUUAUAUUGGAUCAUAUGAAUUAACUGGGAGCUUUUGACUUUGAAUUUUAGAGAUGGCAUCCAGAUCGUUGUUCAUCAAUGGGGAAUAUGGAGUUUGUAGAUGAAGCAAAGAAGAAAUUUCAGGCUAUUCAAGAAGCCUACUCUGGUAAUUUCACCACUUUUUUCUUCAUUUUUAAUCAAUUUUUUUAGUUGUUAUAUGGAAAAAAUGGGAGUUGAUUAUUGGAAACAGAGGAUCCUCUGUUAUCUCCUUGAUAUGUACUUUUUUUUAAAGUACCAUUUAUGUUUUUUUGAUUAAGCUUCUUUUAUCUUUUUGUGGUGGCAAACAGUUCUUUCUGACUCCAACAAGAGGUUCCUCUAUGAUGUUGGAGCUUAUAACAGUGAUGAUGAUGUUGAGGACCAAAAUGUAAUAGUUUUAAUUUUUUUCUUAAAGAUAGUGCGAUGCUUCUUGACAUGCGUUAUUGAACAUGUGAACCAUGCAGUGAUGGAUAUUUUUUUGUUUUUUGCAGGGAAUGGGUGAUUUCUUGAACGAAAUGGCAGCAAUGAUGAAUCAAUCCAAGCCUAAUGCAAGACUCUCUUCACUAGUUUCUUUCACCCUUAGCUUAUUAUAAUAAACUUCUUUAGAUAUUUGAAAUGUUGGUUUUGGCAGGAGAAUAGUUCAGGGGACAGUUUUGAACAGCUACAAGAUCUGUUUAAUGAGAUGUUUCAAGGAGACGCCACAGCAUUCCCACCCUCAUCAUCGUCUUUCCCUGCUUCAACUUUCACUUCCUCUUGUGACUUUGUCUUUGAUACAAACUAUCAGCAGUCACCGUUUGGGAUGAGCUCGAUGGGGACUAGUGAUCCUUUCGGAUUUGACUCAAGAUCUCACACCUUCUCUUUAGGGGUAAAGAUUCAUUUCACCCCUCUCUUAAUGCUCCCGAAGGUGCCAUUCUUGAUGAUGAUGUAUUGUUUCUUUUUUCAGGUGGAACAUCAGCAGGAUUUCAAGAAAGGGAAGAACAAUGGUGGAAGAAGGAACAGACGGAAGAACAGUACUCAGUCUUCUAACAACUAUGGAGUCCCUACUUCAUAGCCCUUCACUUCAGACUAUAUUUUUUAUUUGUCGACUAGUCAGAGGACUACUGGUUAUGGUCUCCUCAACGGCUAUGCAUGAAAAUACUCAAAAAACAUUGUCGUUUGUAAACUACACACCUCGUUUUCUCGAAGCUUCUUUUUUCUUUCUCUCUCUCUCUCUAUCUAUCUAAAUGUUGUCUCCUAAGCAAAGAGUUGUUAAGAUCGAUGAAGUCAACUGCUGCUUUAUGAUGACGACGAAUACACAUCCUGUUGUCUCUUGAUUUUCUCAGCAUUUGAAUAUAAUACAUUUUUGUUUGGUCCAUUCUAGUUGAACCAAGCGUCAAAGUAAUGGCAAAUCUUAAUCAGAAUCUUUUUGAUGUUUUGCCCCACUUACAGUAAUUCCAUCUAUAAAAAACUAAUUAAUUACUCAAAAUGUUUACAGAAGAUUGGAACAAUUUACGAAGAACUAUAUAUAGUCUAUACGAAUGAAGUUGUAGAUGUUAUGGAACAUUGAAGAAGACAGAGACAGGUGAAACAAAUAAUCAUGUGUCAUCGCAGUGUCAAAGUAUAAUAAGGCAAUAUAAGUCAACCGUUUAAGAGAAGAGAUAGAAUGAUCACGGAUCUUCUUAAUGUUACUGAGAGUGCUCAUAUACUAGAAAAUAUUUCAGCUUUCUAUUUCAUGAAAUUAUGGACACAAAGUAGUAGUACAAGAGAUAGUCGCUACUACUACUUCAUCUGAAGGAUGAAAACUCAUAAAAGACAUUCAGAAGAGGUUGUCAUAGUCUUCUUUGAGUGUGAAUUCAGCUGAAUCGAACCGCCAAGCCAGAGGAGUGGAAGGCAUCUUCAUCAUCAUAGAGCCAUGGCGGAUUGGGGAGCGCCAUGGAGUUGAGCUCUUAAGGCAACUAGUCAACUUGGGCGAGGGAAUCUCUUCUGGUUCGUCACAAGUCAAAUUGUACUUGAGAUUCUUAUCCUUGGUGCAAGAAGAAUCUACAAAAAAAAAAAGGGAACAAGCUUUAUUUUAUUUAAAGCACAAGUUCACAAGCAAAGAUAGGUUUACAACCACCAUCAAGAGCUUUACCAUGGUGAAGCAGAAGAUCAGCAUCGUCCCAGAGACUUUGCUGCUCCUUGAUGCAUUUGCUGUGAUCAUGCAAGAACAUCUCCCCAGCUAUGUUGGUUUCGCAUUUUGCAGAAGAAGCAAGUUGCUUGUUCUUGGAAGAAGGUUUGGGAUGAACCCCAGCAGACUUGUUAGUGAUAUCAUUGAGAGCCUUACGAGCUCCUCCAGGUUUCUUCUUCUGACCAAGCACAGUUCCUUUCGUACUUUUCACAGAAGCGGCAGCAGUAACAACAGACUCUGAAACAGCAAACAAACAAAAGUCUUACUUGUUUCAACAGCUUAAAGAUAAAUGAUUCUGAAAGAGUAACAAAGAGAAAAGAUUACUACUUUUGCGAUGAAUGGGAGCGUUCUCGUCAGGGAAGAUCAUCUGUUGAAGAGUGUUCAUGUUCCUGUGAACACCGAACAAAAGCUUGUUAAUUUCAUUUAAAAAAAAAAAAGGAAUAUUCGAAAUUCAUCAAAAGGAAUCAAAUUUCAUAACCUAAAAAUCGGAAUCAUACAUUUACGGAUCAAUCAACCCUAAAAUUGGUGAAUUUUAAUAGAAACCCAAUACGUAAUCAAAACCCUAAAUUUGAUUCUCCAGAAAAUCGAAAACCCUCACGAAUCAAUCAGCGAAAGAACCGAACCUAAAAUCAGAAGGAUUACCUUUCGAAAAUGGAGUAGUUUCUUGGUAAGAUCUUGUGGGAGAGAGACGAGUCUUAGAGGAAGAAGACGAAGAGCGCUUUUCUUGAAAUUGUUUUUAGCGGUAACUUUUUCAAUCUAGAGACGACGAGGUUAGGCGAAACAAGUGACUUUAUAGAAGAAAACAAAAAGGUUAAUAGCCGUUGCGGAAUGUUUCAACCAAGGCCCAAUCAAGACUUGACUCGGGCCCAAUUGUGCUGAAAACCACCACUAUCCUCAUCUCCAAUACUCGUUGAAAGAGUCUUUCGAAACCCGAAACCCGCGGUCGAACCGUUAAACCCGGUAAUCCGGUUUGAAUUUUAGAAAAAAUCAAUUAUUUAAAAAUCUGAUAAAACCCACAAAAACCCGUUAAAAUCCAGAACCGGUUACCGGGUGAAUCAAAAAAUAAAAAAGAUUAUAUGAUCAUGUGGAUUCUAUUAACAAAACUAGCUAGUUGAUGUAAUUUAGUAUUAGUUUAUUUCUGUUAUCGAUAAUUUAUUACAAUUUUAUAUUUUACUUUUGGUUUAUUUUUGAUUUAAAGUUUAAUUUUAUUAUUCACACUAGACAUUUAAAUACUUAUAGAUUUUAAAUCUUGAUAUAUUUUUAUUAUAUCUCAUAACUCUUAAUUUAUUACAAAAUUUUUAAAUAGUCUGUUCUUUUAAUAUUUCAUAUGUGAAAUGAAAAUAAAAAUAAAUAAAUAUAAAGUUAAGUAUUUUUCCAAACGGUUUUUAAAACAUAAAACAUUUCUUAUAUUUUUCAAUAGCUAAUAUAUUAUUAAUAACAAAAAAUUAUUAAUAUGUGGUUCGUCCGCGGUCGAUCCAAUAAUGCAUUGACUCGGUAAAUUAUCCGGUUCAGUGUUCCGGUUGGGUUUCAAAACAUUGGCUGAAAGCGUCAAAGAAGUAAGAUGAAAAGUCAACGUGUCACAUCCUAUAAACUCAUCGUCUAGACGAUCUUCUUAUCUGCUAGGAUUUAUAAUUAUCAUUAUCCUUGAUUACAUCUCUACUUAAUUUUGGAAAUGUUAAAAUUAAGGUCAAAUCUUAUAUAUAUAGUCUUAGCCAAAGAUAUGAUUCCACGCUUCUCUUUCCCAUCUUUAUAUAAAUAAAACCACCACUAUCCUCAUCUCCAAUACAGAACAAGAACAAAAAACGUAAGAGACCAUUAACAAAACCUUUUCGUAAAUCUUGAUUGGAGAUAUGGGAUUGUUGCACAAGCUGUGGGAUGAAACGGUGGCCGGUCCUGCGCCCGAAAAUGGUCUAAAGAAGUUGAGAAAUCACAAUUCUGCUACAAAGAAUAGUAACCAGAAGUUGAUGGUGAAUCCUGGUCGUGUCCUGGAUUCGCCCGUUGGAUCAAGCACCCCGGGUUCUCCUUUGACUCGUAAGUUACCUUUUGUAUUGUUCUUGUUUACCUUCUACUGCUGUAUUAAGAGCAAUUUAAAUCUUGCAAAAGAAGUUGUUGAGAUGAUAUUAGCAUGAAAAAUAUUGGUUCUCAUAAUAAUAAUAAUAAUAAAAAAAAAGUUAUUCUCAUAAUAAUCAUUUUUGUAUGCAGCUGGAACACCAAGUGAAACGCAUGCCACAAGUCUCAAUGCUUGUGAUUGGUUUGAUCUCCAUCUCUUUUCAUUCUCAUAUGGAUCCUCUCUCUCUUUUUUAUUACUAUUAGCAUAAAUGUUUUAAAGGUACGAUCCUUAAUAUUGCAGGAUUGUGCUAAACGCAUUGGACCGUUGAAAGAGAACAAUCUACGAGUGUAUAAGUAACCGAUCCAACACCUACUACGUUCUCUUGUAUUUCUAUGCAGUGACCAUAUUGUUAAAAGUGUAUGCAUGCAAAUAGUAGUCAGUCUCACGUCGCCCUUUUUAGAACUUGUGUUUGUCUUCUGCAUGUAAAUAGUAGUGACCAAGAUGGAUUGUUCUUUGGAAACAUGGUUUCUCUAAUAUGAAAUGUCCCCUUAAUUACUGUUGGUAAUUAAAGAAGAACAUAUUUGUGAUGUACAUGCGAAUCAGCUUCUCUUCUUAUCCUCAUUCACUCUCGUUUUGAUAUCCACACUUUGUUUCUAUCAUGAGUGUGUGUGUGUGUAAGAGGGAAGAUAGAGAUGAACAAAUAAAAUCUAGAACAUGCUUAGAGCAUAUUAACCGAAGUUCUUAGGACGGAGUUCUUAGCAGAGUAUAAGAAAUUAUCUCUCAACUUUUAACUAAAAAAAGUUAAGAACCGACUCUUAGAUAUCUUAAAGGACAUCUCGUUAAUCAUGCUUUUUCAUACGACUUGUACGCAAGACCAGCACCAGCACUGGUUAGCAAAUAGUAUGUUUCUAUUCCAAAUGUCAUUAGAUAAACAAGAUAUAGAAACUCGUGUCAUCAUGGCUGAGAGGGAUAAAUAUAUAUAUACUAAUUUAAAAUCUCCUACACUAUUCCUUUUGAACUUGAUGCUGAGAAUGGGAGGCAGGUAUAUGAUUAAAGAAGAAGAAGAAGAAGAAGAGCAUCAAAGAAUCAUGCAUUGAUUUCAAAGAAGCGCUUUAGAUUCAAGUCUCUCUCUCUAUUCCCCUUAAGAGUUAAGAAACUCAUAGUGUUAGUGGGCCGGCAACUUUACCGGUGACGGAACCUUAAUCCAAUCACAUCCUUACACGUCAGACUCCCCGUAUCGUUAUUCCACGUGUCCUCCUUCUCACCGACUCCGUCUCCUUUUCCGUUAACCCCCCCCAAACAAGAUCAUUACGCCACAAAAUCCCCUUUUCACGAUCACAUCCAUGGCCGACGACGACGACCAGAUCCGAUCUCACUCCGAUUCACCGGAUCCUUCUUCUUCUCCGCCACCGUCCGGCAAACUCACGGUAACGGUGGCUUCCCCAGCUCCGCCUCAGAAAGAUCCGGACGCGUCGCCUCUUGCGCUGCUUCCGAUCAGACCGACCGGCGGCGGAGGGAGGGAGGAUUGCUGGAGCGAGAAGGCGACGGGAGUUCUGAUCGAUGCGUGGGGGGAGAUUCACUUGGAGCUGAGCAGAGGGAACCUGAAACAGAAGCACUGGGAGGAGGUGGCGGAGAGGGUGAGAAGCAAGGAGGAUAACGGUAAAGCUCCCAAGACGGAUGUACAGUGCAAGAACAGGAUCGAUACGGUCAAGAAGAAGUAUAAGCAAGAGAAGUUAACAAGUGGCGGGAGCAGCAGCAGCAGCUGGGUGUUCUUCGAUAAGCUCGACCGUUUGAUUGGUUCAACGGCCAAGAUCUCAUCUGGAGGAAGCAGAGGUUUGAAUCUUUACCAUCAGCAAGGUAAGGCUGAAACGCCGCGUUUUGGAGGUAAGGCUAGGGUUACAUCUGCUUCGUUUAGUGAGUCUAAGCGAUGGCCUUUGAGGAGGAAGAGGAAUGUGUCUGAUUCAGAUUCGGUGUUUGAAGCUGGUGUCUCUGAGGACUCUGGGGACAGUCUACCACCUCCUCCUCCUCCUCUGUCGAAGAGGAAGCAAGGAGGAAGAAACAAGUGGAGGGAGCUAAGUCGUGCGAUCAUGAGAUUCGGUGAAGCUUACGAGGAAAUAGAGAAUGCCAAACUGCGACAGGUGGUUGAGAUGGAGAAAGAGAGGUUGAAGUUCUUAAAAGAGCUGGAGAUGCAGAGGAUGCAGUUCUUUGUGAAGAUUCAGUUGGAGUUAUCGCGGCAAAGGGAGGAGAAUGGGAAACAACAGUAGUAAUAACAAAGACAGCAGCAAUGUGAUUGUCGACGACGGUGUUGAUAACUAGAGAGUUUAGUGAUUUCAGGUCGUAAUCUACAUAUUUUAGAAUUUGAGUUUUGAAAUUGUUUGAAAAGAAGAUACUUUUCUUAGGCUUCUUCAUGAGUGUAUUAAUAUUUUUACCAAAUCUUUGUUCCCUUUUUGCCAAUUUUUUUGUUGAAAUGAAAAAAAUAGAUUUGAGUUUAAUUGCUUUUCCGACAAGCUGACUAAAUUCAGGCAAGCCAUCUGUUGGUGGUGUUUCUGUGUACACUACUCUCGCUCUUCGUCCACCGUGUUUGUUUGGUGGUUCUGACUCAGCACGCCACGUCAUCGUAGCCAUUCAGGACUUAACGAGAAAGCAAACACUCUAGACGGCUUAGAGGAUUCGCAUGAUCCAAAUUUUACAAAGUUACAAAAGAAAAGGACUAAUCAGUAGUAGCUGUUUGUCGUUUUGUGUCACCGAUAGCCCACGGACGAUUACAUUAUUUUCCCAGUGUGUUCUUUUUUUUUUCUAUUUCAUUUUACUUUUGAGAGACUUUAAAGAAAUAGCUUUUUUGACCUUCUUGGUUACCAAGUUCUGUUUCUGCAUCUUGGAUUUGCUUUCUGGAUCAUCCUUCAGACAUGUGAGUACUUCUAUAGUUAGCUCUGCUCACACCCUUAAAUGAUCACAGUCAGUAUACAUAUCUGUUUCUUGUUGUUUCUUGUAAUUUCAAGAUAUAUGAAUCAAGUUUCGUAAUGGAUAAUUGGUUUAAGCAAUGAUCAUUGUCUCUUAAAGAAUGAUAAUUAUGUUUAGUCUUGAUGGAGGUACAAGCUUGUUGUAUCAUUAGUGUUAUUUGACUCUCAGUGUUCUUUUAAUAUGAUAUUCUACAUAGAUAUGGAUCAAAUCGUUAACGUGAAUGAGUUUCAAGAGCUGGCGAAAAGAGCUCUCCCUAAGAUGUACUAUGAUUUCUAUAGCGGAGGAGCAGAGGAUCAACACACUCUCAAAGAAAACGUUGAAGCUUUCACUAGAAUCAUGUAAGAGAUCUAUAUAAAUAUGACAAUUUAUCUUUUUGGUUUUGGUUGGCUCCAAUUUUUACUUGUGUUCUAUGUUCAGGUUCCGUCCUCGGGUUCUCGUUGAUGUGAGCAAGAUAGAUAUGUCUACCAGAAUCUUAGGUUACCCAAUCUCAGCUCCAAUCAUGAUUGCUCCAACAGCAAUGCAUAUGUUGGCUCAUCCACAAGGUCUCUCUUUACUCUAUGUUGGUACAUGCAGCUGUUCUAUUUGGAAACUGAUUUUUAUUUGUCUAUUAUGUUAGGAGAAACCGCCACUGCGAAAGCUGCAGCUGCGUGUAACACUAUCAUGGUACUAAAGUGUUUACUGGAAUACAUGUUAUUGCAUUCUGGUUUUGGGUUUCAAUGACUAGUUCUUUUUUUUUUGGUUGCGAGUUUCAGAUAGUAUCAUACAUGGCUUCAUGCACUAUUGAGGAAGUUGCUUCCAGUUGUAACGCUGUUCGGUUUCUUCAAAUAUAUGUAACUACACAAUCUAGACAUUUUUAUUUGCUUUUGUUUUACGUUUGGCCUCUCGGUUCUUAGUUCAUUCUGGUAUCUUUAUUAGGUGUACAAGAGACGAGAUGUAACUGCUCAGAUAGUGAAAAGAGCUGAAAAAGCUGGAUUCAAGGCCAUUGUUCUGACUGUUGAUGUUCCUAAAUUAGGCAGAAGGGAAGCAGAUAUAAAGAACAAGUUAACACUCUCCUUUACUACUCUGCUUAGCCUAUCUAACAAAAUAGUAUUCUCUCCAUUUCAAAUUAAAUGUUCAGUUUUUUCCUUAUUUGACUAUUAAAGUUCUAUUGCAUUUGAUGUUUUUAACUUAAUUAUGAGUAAAAGAGAUAGGAUUAAUGAAAAAAAAAAAUACAUAGGACACUUAUUUUGUAAUGAAAUUUUAAUUUAGAACGACAAUUAAGGGAGUAGUUUGUAUUGUUGAAUGAUGUUUCAAUUUUGUUGUUCUGUAGAAUGGUAUCCCCACAGCUGAGGAACUUUGAAGGAUUAUUUUCAACAGAAGUCCUACCUGUGAGUAGAAGCUUGAAGUUAAUGCUCAUGUAAAGUGAAAACGUAACAUGUUGUUGACGUGAUAACUUUUUUUGUUUCUCAGAGUGAAGGUUCAGGGCUUGAAGCAUUCGCUUCUAGUACAUUUGAUGCUUCUUUAAACUGGAAGGUAUAAUCUUUGUGAACUGAUUCUGUUCGUGUCCUUGAAUACUAGUGCAUUUACUUAUAAUGUUUGAAACUGGAAUGUUGUAGGAUAUUGAAUGGUUAAGAUCUAUUACAAAGUUGCCAAUUCUGGUCAAAGGGAUACUCACCCGUGAAGACGGUAAGGUUCUUGUGUCAUACUCUGAUAUAUAUAUAUAGCUUGUAUCAUUACUAUAUUAUAAAGAUAUAUUUGAUGAUAUUUGCAGCUCUUAAAACUAUUGAAGCUGGUGUAGAUGGAAUAGUUGUAUCAAACCAUGGGGCUCGCCAGCUUGACUAUUCACCAGCUACUAUAACUGUCUUAGAAGAGGUAAACCCGUCAAAGCUUUUACGUAAGAACAUACUUAUUCUUAUUUAUGAACACAAUGGUCUUCUUCCUGAAACUGCAGAUUGUUCAUGUUGUUGGAGGGAGGAUUCCAGUUUUGCUUGAUGGAGGUGUGAGACGAGGAACAGAUGUUUUCAAAGCGCUGGCACUGGGAGCACAAGCUGUUCUUGUAAGCUUUAAAUGUUUUAGGAUUUGGACUUUUGGCACACAUCUUUCAGGUUGCUCUAUGUUGAUGUAAUGACGCAAUUUGGUUGGGUUAUGCAGAUAGGUAGGCCUGUAGUCUAUGGGCUUGCAGCGAAGGGUGAAGAUGGAGUGAGAAAAGUGAUUGACAUGUUGAAGAAUGAGUUGGAGUUAACCAUGGCUCUUUCUGGUUGUCCCACCAUUGAUGACAUCACCAGAAACCAUGUUAGGACUGAGAAUGAGAGACUUAAAUCUAUGCUCUGAUCCUGAAGACAGUGGUGGAAAGUGAGUACUAUGGGUGGACUUUGUGUGAUGUUUUUGUAGUUUAUAUGAACGCCUAUGAGAGGGAUUUUCAGACAGAUUAUCACAUUGUAUACAGUUUCAUAAGUGAAAGCUCUGGUUCUGAAAAGAAAACAGAGCUAUGGCGUCAUUUACACAACCAAAUUAAGCUGUCUCAGAGUAAUAAGAUGAAACAAUAUCAAGAUGAUGAAAGUUCCUCCUGGAGCUCCAACUGGGACAGACGAUACUCUCUCUCAAACAACAUAAACUCCUGCAUUUUGUAUUGCAUCCAAAUCGAUCAGAUGGUUUCUCAGUUACUAAGAACAACCAGUUUACAAAAGAGUGAAAAAGGAUUUUGUUUUUCAAGUAUUACUAACCUGUAACUGUUGCUGACUGAAUAAAGAGAGAAAACCAUUUUCAUCAGAAGCCACGAGCUCAAUCAGCUCAUCGUGCUCUUCAGGUGGAUUUCCCGACUCCAUUAGACAAACAGAUACCUGCAAGUAUGUCGUUUAGUGAAAGGGCAAAUUCAUCAAAUCAAGAAUAUGCCAGUAGUUUUAUGUUCAGUGUUCUAUAGUUCUCACUUACGUGUGCAAAUAAAACGUGAAAAUUAUCUGUAGGAGGCUAGUUGCGAAUAAGAGGCUUUACCUGCAUAGAUCGAAGAACUAGCUCUGGGAGACAGCAUCUCCUACAGAGACCGCGGACAAUAUAAGUUGCAGGUGUUUCAAGCGAGCCUUCUUUGCUUGAAUACCAAGCGUCUAGCCGGGAUAUAUCCAUUGUAACACCUGCCUGGAACCGGGUAAGCUCACCUGCAGUCAUAUUUUAAGUUUUGUUUAUAUUAUUGUGGUUUCAUCAACAUCUCCAAGUUUAUAUGGAGUAAACCACAGUGAAGGCGAGAUAUGUUCCAUAGACAUCCCAACCUUUAAAAGCAGCUGCCGCAACUGAACUUAAAAUACCCCCAUCAUUUGCAUUAUGUGGCCCAAGUCCAUCACCCUCAGUUGCCAAACACCGAAGAACAACCUCGAUGCAGUAGCUGUCUCUCGAUGAAAUCGAUACAUUUACCUACAGCAAAGAUCAACGUAAAUAAUACAUAGCAAACUGGUUUCGAGAUUGUGCCACAUCCAGUUAUGUUGCAUAACCAUUUUAGACAAAAAUUUACGUCCAGGGAAUAUGCACACUUGCCUGGGUGUGGCAAAAUAAGAAUAACGGGUAAAAACGAACAUAUGCAACAAGACACUGGAUGAAGGGAGUACCAUUAACUGACGGUCUAAAACAACUUCCUCAGUGACAGAAGCGUAAAGCGCACUCAUUAAUGCCACGCAAACAGUGGCAUCUGGGCGCAGACAUUCACCAGAAGGCAAACAGAGCAUCGCAGUUGCAUGCAACUCAAGGAAUAUAUGUUCUUCUGAUUCGAAUACAUCGUCUUCGAGAAAUGUCAACCAGGGAUUGUCUUUUCCUAUAUAAUGAGAUUCAAAGCUAUUACAUUUUGAAGGAUUCUUAGCCAAUGUUAAAACUGCUCUUCUUGCAUACAAGUCAACCAUAUAUAUAAUAUUUGGCGUCACUUACUGAGAAGCAGUGACAAAGAAGAAUCCAAAGUCUCUUUGGCUGCUACUACAGCUUUUUGAUUUUCCUCUUCUGAGAGUUCAGUGACUUCCGCAUUCUCUAAUUGGAAUUUGAGCCAGUUGCGAUAUUUUGCGUCACAGGAAUAAUACUCAUUCUAUUAAAAAAAACAGAGAGAUACGUAGUUAGCCACUAACGUUUAAAUCGAAGGAAGAACCAAAAGUAAAAAUGCAAAGUGAAGCAUACCCAGUCUUGAAACUCUUGCAAAUUCUCGGAAACAUAAUCCUCAAGUGUAUCUGGAUUCUCUGAGAGAUGCUUCAGAGGUUCAGCAAGAAAACUAAGAAGCGUGUGUGCACCCACCGGAGUUGCAGGCACCCUCCACAUGGCGAUCAAAGCAAACUCUCGGAAAAGUAUGUUGCUGAAGGAAGGUAAAAAAAACACCAUGAAACAGAGGCAUAAGUGAAGAAAAUAGAAUUGGUGGCAGUAGCAGACUCUUUACGGAAUCGAGUUUCUUUCCAUGUGUUAGUGUGUAUUGCACGUACCUGUGCAUCAAAGAUCGCAGGAGUAGUUUGGACGUAACAUCUUUGACAUCCUUUAUAGUAGAUGGAGGUGUAAAACAGAGCCACUGAAUGGCUAUGGCUUUUUGAAGACUCUGUUGACGAUGCUGCUCCGCAACAUCAAUUGAGGGAUCAUAUUUUGCAAGCUUGAUUUCCCGGGAUCUUGACAAAACCCUGUGAAUGUUCCAUAAAGUUGCAUUUUCUUAGCUUUACUAGAGUAAAAUGUAUCUCAUAAUUAGCAUAUAAUAAACCAGGAAAUAGACUAUUUGAAUAACUGUCAACUAUCUCCUCAAAAUUUCCUUGUGUGUCAUCUACAUGAGAGAAUGGCAAGUAUUCCAUAGCGGAAAGAAAGAUUUUGAACUUCACAUGUACACUAUUUUUCAAGGCAUAAGGAAACAAAUGUCAAAUAAUUUGCUUUAUGCCAUACACGUAUAUGAAACCGCCAACGGGUGCUCUUCCACAUACGUAAAUGUUUGGUUAAGGAUCACACAAAAAUUACCUGCUAUGCAUCCUUAGCUCCAUCAUGUGUACAAAAAGUUCGAUGCAGCGGUGGCGAGCAAGCUGAGAAGCAUAUAUUCCUACUAGUUCUUCAUGUUGUUUUGAAAAUAGAAACAUCGAAUACCUGGCAGCAUUUCAUAGAUCACUUGAAAUCCAAUUGAGCGUAAUAUGCAUGUAAUGUAUCAUGAAUUAGUAUUUUUUCCAAACAAGAACUCUGUCACUACAGAGGAACCAACUCAACGUGACUCACAUAUGAAGAAUAAGGUCGCCAACAUUACUGAGCUUCUCCCUGUCCUUGAUUUCAUCGGCAAGCAUAUACCUAAGAACAAGCACCACGUGAGCACCGAACUUUAUCAUAUGAGGAUCGCCAUGGGGCCUGCCAAAUGGAUAACAUAUUGUGUCAAAUAAAAAAAUAUAGCUAUACCAGGGAACAAAUGCAAAUAUACAGAAGGUAUAGUCAUAGGAGACCCCUACCACCCCCCUGUGUUGGGAAUCUAUGUUAAUUGAGUUCAGUGACUUCCGCAUUCUCUAAUUGGAAUUUGAGCCAGUUGCGAUAUUUUGCGUCACAGGAAUAAUACUCAUUCUAUUAAAAAAAACAGAGAGAUACGUAGUUAGCCACUAACGUUUAAAUCGAAGGAAGAACCAAAAGUAAAAAUGCAAAGUGAAGCAUACCCAGUCUUGAAACUCUUGCAAAUUCUCGGAAACAUAAUCCUCAAGUGUAUCUGGAUUCUCUGAGAGAUGCUUCAGAGGUUCAGCAAGAAAACUAAGAAGCGUGUGUGCACCCACCGGAGUUGCAGGCACCCUCCACAUGGCGAUCAAAGCAAACUCUCGGAAAAGUAUGUUGCUGAAGGAAGGUAAAAAAAACACCAUGAAACAGAGGCAUAAGUGAAGAAAAUAGAAUUGGUGGCAGUAGCAGACUCUUUACGGAAUCGAGUUUCUUUCCAUGUGUUAGUGUGUAUUGCACGUACCUGUGCAUCAAAGAUCGCAGGAGUAGUUUGGACGUAACAUCUUUGACAUCCUUUAUAGUAGAUGGAGGUGUAAAACAGAGCCACUGAAUGGCUAUGGCUUUUUGAAGACUCUGUUGACGAUGCUGCUCCGCAACAUCAAUUGAGGGAUCAUAUUUUGCAAGCUUGAUUUCCCGGGAUCUUGACAAAACCCUGUGAAUGUUCCAUAAAGUUGCAUUUUCUUAGCUUUACUAGAGUAAAAUGUAUCUCAUAAUUAGCAUAUAAUAAACCAGGAAAUAGACUAUUUGAAUAACUGUCAACUAUCUCCUCAAAAUUUCCUUGUGUGUCAUCUACAUGAGAGAAUGGCAAGUAUUCCAUAGCGGAAAGAAAGAUUUUGAACUUCACAUGUACACUAUUUUUCAAGGCAUAAGGAAACAAAUGUCAAAUAAUUUGCUUUAUGCCAUACACGUAUAUGAAACCGCCAACGGGUGCUCUUCCACAUACGUAAAUGUUUGGUUAAGGAUCACACAAAAAUUACCUGCUAUGCAUCCUUAGCUCCAUCAUGUGUACAAAAAGUUCGAUGCAGCGGUGGCGAGCAAGCUGAGAAGCAUAUAUUCCUACUAGUUCUUCAUGUUGUUUUGAAAAUAGAAACAUCGAAUACCUGGCAGCAUUUCAUAGAUCACUUGAAAUCCAAUUGAGCGUAAUAUGCAUGUAAUGUAUCAUGAAUUAGUAUUUUUUCCAAACAAGAACUCUGUCACUACAGAGGAACCAACUCAACGUGACUCACAUAUGAAGAAUAAGGUCGCCAACAUUACUGAGCUUCUCCCUGUCCUUGAUUUCAUCGGCAAGCAUAUACCUAAGAACAAGCACCACGUGAGCACCGAACUUUAUCAUAUGAGGAUCGCCAUGGGGCCUGCCAAAUGGAUAACAUAUUGUGUCAAAUAAAAAAAUAUAGCUAUACCAGGGAACAAAUGCAAAUAUACAGAAGGUAUAGUCAUAGGAGACCCCUACCACCCCCCUGUGUUGGGAAUCUAUGUUAAUUUAAAAGAACAAAAUGCUAAGGGAAAACUAUAUCCCAACAUUAUUUAAUAAAAGUGAAACUACCUAGAUAAAAACGAUUGCUUACCUAAAGUUGCUUUGAUCAUCUUCUAAGGGGGCGAUCCAUGACCAUAUUAUAUCAAGAAGAUGUGAGAUAUUCCCAGACAUAAGGGUCAUCUGCAAAAGAAUGUAAUUAGGGAUGAAAACGCAUAUAAUAUAUGGUUCUUAUAGCUUUGUGGAGAUAAAUUUGGCAUCUACGUUACCUGAAUUUGCCGGUGCUGCUCUUUGCAUCCCCUGACAACAGCAUCGUGUACCAUUUCCCUAUGUCAGGAAUAAAACAAUACGUUGGGCUGGAGCUAUUUACGGGGAGAACAAAAAGAAAGUCUCGCAAUAUAUGCAUGCAUACCCUGAAUGGAGUUUCUGAAGAAGAGCAGGAAGGUCACGGGGUUGCUGGUUUAGAACAUGGAGCGGCCAAUCUUCUGGCCCAAGCGAAGCCUGGUAACCAUUUUGCAUAGUUUCAGGGCUUUCAUCAAGACAGCUUCUAAACUUUUCUGUCAAGCCUGGCUUUGAUUGGGCGAGUUCUAGAUCAACUUGAACAUCAAGCCAUGAUUUUGCCAUCGCCCAGCAAGCUGACUGCAGAUAAAUCACCAUUGAACCACUGAAGCUAAGACAAUGUGAAUGUACGCAGCACAUAGACUAAGCUACAAAAUAUGUUAGAAGUAUAGCAGUUCCCAGUUUUUCAAAGAUUUUACAGAGGAAGGGCAGAGAUGAGAACAAGUAUAGCAAUAUUUCAUAUUGAUACAAAUGUCUCUAGACAUCCUAAACCAUUACAGUUCAUUCCUGAAAGAAGAGAUCAACGUGUGGCUUGGAAAACUAUCUAGGAUUUUCUAUUUUACUAUCAACGGUUCAAGUUUUUCCGAAACAUUCGUAUCACAUUUCCGUCUUUAAACAGGGACUAAAUAUCUCAUGAACAAUACGUGCAGAGUGGGGCCUGUCCAACUUAAGAACGAUGCUGAGAGAUUUGCCAUGACAACCAAGAAUAAAAGUUCAAAUUUGUAAAUUAACAAAACAAUUGCAUCCAAGUGUGCAUGUUUUACCUCCCAAUCAGUACAAAUUGGCAAGAUGCGGUUCAGGUUGCUGCAUUGGUUUGCAAAAACAGCAACUUCAUGUUUACCGCCAUCCUGCUCUGCUAUUUUCUUCAGAAACAAAGAUUAAAAAAACAGUUAAAGUUUCUCUGAAGUAGGAAAAAGAAUUAAAUUCAUAUCAAGAAUUUGUAUUACCUCUGAUGCACAGUACGAAGCCCAUUUCCAAAGACGCAGUUGAUUGCCAAAGCCACUUUCCAGCUCGAUAGCCUGGAGAGUCCUAUUUUUCCCAUUCUUUAUCAGUGCCUCAACAGAAGGAAACAUGUCCAUUCCAGAAAAAGGGCAUAAAGUUGCCGCUCUCCAUGGCUGCCGGAGUAUAAAUUUAAAUCGACAUUAUUGAUACACGCCUUUGUAAUAUAAUUACCCUACGAGAAUUCAAAUACCUUGUAAUAUUACCUGCCCAGCGGAUCUGCAGAGAUCACAUGCCUCCUCUAUUCUUCCAGCCCUUAACAAAAUCCACACAUCCUCAAGAAGUGAUUCAUCUUGUUUCUGCCAAAGAAAAGUAAAUAUUAAUUUUGCUCAGCAGCUAAACAAGAACGAAAUACGACUUUCACAGUAUAGGUAUAGAUACGCACAGUAUAGGUACAGAUACGCACUCGGUGGCUAGACCAUAGUAUACAAAAGAAGCACUCGCAAUUACUAUGUUAUACGCCCUAGAACAAGCAACAUAUUUUAAUGUAUACCAUUUAUUAUAUAUUAAAUGAACAAAAUACACUCAAAGGUAAAACAUACCCAUCAGCACUAAACAAACCAAAAUUCAACCAUAGCUGAAUAGAGACUUACUUUGUCAUCAGGAAGAAGACGAGCAUGUUCACGAGUU